rnacentral:lncRNA from 1 species
UCCGAUCCCCUACUCCUGCGUACAGUCGUUAUUGUACUGUGGACACAUACAUGACAUGCAGUCAAAAAAUUUCAACGCCACUGUUCUUGGCCGCUCUUGCAUUGCAUUGCAUAUUCAGUACACACAUCAAUCGAUCAGCUGGUUACUGUCUUACAGCUCCAACAGGAACAUAUAUGGAUCAUGUAUAUACUCCCUCUACAUGGCUGUUUAAUUCAAUUGACUGCAGUAGGAGGAGCAUUUUUUUCCCCUUGUGCCGCUGUGCAUUUCAUAUGUUAUCUUUUUCUACUACGUACGUGAGCUAGCACUGACAGAAAAGCUGGCUGGCUGUAAACAUUAGGUCACUGCUGCUCCAACUGUUAUACUGUUAUACGUGGAUUGUGCGUUAAUUAAUGAAUCAAUUUGCUAAUCUAAUCAGGGCCAGCAUGCAACUGCUGCCACUGGCCAAUUGUUUAACUGAACAAAUGUCAGCAGAGGAAAUUAAAGCUAGUACCUUUUAGUUUCUUUCCACCCUCUGCUAGCUAGCUAGCUAUCACAUCUUUUGACCAGUAGCUGAGUAGUGGCCAAGAUCACCUGGCAUGCAAGUGAAGGCUUGGUUAAUUAGCGUAUACUUGGCAAAAAGCUAGCUGAAGUACUCUCUCUUUCCCAUUAUAUAUACUAGUAACGCACGUAUUUUAAGAUUCCAAAUUUAAUUAGCAAAAUAUAAAUUAUAUUUCAUAAAAAAUAUAUCAUUAGAUUCGUAAUCAAAUGAACUUUUUAAUGAUAUAUUUUUUACGUCAUAUAAUUUAUAUUUUGAUACUUAAAUUGACAAUCUUGGGACGCGUGCGUGUCUCGUAUAUUGGGACGUAGGGAGUAAAGUGCAUGCAGAAGCAUUGUUAAUUUUGGUUACACGUAAAGAUAUGGAAAUUUUAGUUGGUUUGGUUGGAGUUGGAGGUGGUGGCAGGCAAAGAGAUGGAUGAAUUAAGCAAGCAAAUUAAAAUAAAGAUCAGUGGAGAGGUAGCUAGCGCCAUGGAGUGUAUCUGUUGGGGCCUUCCUCCCCGAGGGAGGACAAGGAAUGUUCUCCAAAUUUAUACUAGUGUCUAGUGCUUGCUUGCUUGCCCCUUGGCUCAGACGGCUCCACACACAUGCACACGCCACCACACGCAAAGCGAACUGGCCAGCUAACUUUCACAUUUGGAUGCAUGCAUCACUUUCACAGUUUCAUGCACAAGAGAGCUCGCUCGAUCCAUGAUUCUGCUGUGUUCUGCAUCGAGGAGAUAAACACACUUUCUUGCUCCCUCCGAUACUAAAUUAUCGUCUCAAUUUUAUCCAAAUAUGAAUGUAUUUAUUUUUAAAAAAUAUUUAAAUAUAGUAGAUACAUGUAAUAUUUCGAUAACAAUUUAGGAUCCGACAGUGAGUAUUUUUAACCAUUCUUCUUCGACUGAAAAGAAAAAUGCUCUACGAAAAAAUGAAUAAAUUAGCAUGCAUGCAGAUGAUUGCAUUGCUGGAGGAACACUGUGCGGGUGAUAUAUAUUCGGUCAACGAAGGGGCUGCAAGCAGUCAGCGAGGAGGAAAGAACAUUUGGAGGCAUAUGCACCCACGCGCUCAGACCAUAUUAUCCUGUGGUCGGAUUCUGCGGGGGCCAUGCACAAGCACAAACUGUGUAUCCGCCACCGUUCGUACAGCCCAGUCUGUGCGUGUGUUUGAUGUAUGAACAAAGAUGGUCAGAGAGAGACCCGCUGGCCGCCGGCCUUUGCUGCUGGAUCGACCCGCGUGCAUGCAUGUGUAGUGGGGAAUCGAAUCCUUCGUUCCUUGCAUGUUUUUGCAUAAAGCUUGCAGCCUUUCUCAUCAUUCCUGCCUGCGUGCCACGGCCACGAGCUAAUCGAACAGACGAAAAACAAAUGGAUCUCGUUAAUAUUAGUACUUUCCGUACAACAAAAAUAUAUCUCAAUUUUGAUUAAAUUUAAAUGGAUGUAUACACUAAGUCUGUUAGUGGUAAUCUUGAUUAGACUAGUGGUUAGUGGCAUGCAUGAGUUUGUUGCUCAGGCGUGUGGACCAAGUUGGCUGCAUGUAGUAGGGACCGUUGCUGGCUGUUGGAGGCAGCCGCGUCGUGCGCGCGGCCAGGCGAGCGAGGUGGGCAGCGUGCGUGCGUGCGCAUGUGCUUGGCCCGUGUAUAAAGCCCGUACUGCUUAGAGAGUUGCGUAGAGAGCGGUAGCUACGAGAAAAAUGUAGUCUCCAGUGGUCUCUCGUGUGGGUGUGCCCAUGGUGGUUGCCGGGGCUGCCGUCGUGUGGGGUCGAGUCCUUUGUACAUAUGUGCGCGAGGCAUGGGUAUGUAUCCAAUUUGAGUAAAGAGAAGCCGUUCGUCGGCGGAGGCGUUUGUGCGCCGAGGCGUAUGUCGCCGGAAAUACUCGUGUCUCGAGUUCGUCUCCUUCCGUCAUCCAGCGUUCGUUUCGUCGGAGGGCUGUGCCAACAAAGUCAUAUCUACAUACAUCUAAAUUUUAACAAAUUUAAAACAUCUUCUGUUGGACGAGGGGAGUAUAUUAAUUUGAGUGGAUGGCAAAGCAAAGGAGUCUUAACAUGUGACGGUAUCAUGCAAUUAUUUACCUUGCGCAGAAAAGCUUCCUUUUUUUUAUUAUGAAAUGAUCUACAAGUGUCUUAAUUGAUCUUCACCAGCCAUGUCAUGAAGAAAAAUUGAUCUUUUUCGUAAGAGCAAAGAAGCUAGCUGAUGACAAUACUACAAAUAGGUAGGAAAGCAGCGAGGAGGGGGGAAAGGGAUCGAGAGCGUUGAUGACAUGCAUGACGCCUAGAUGUUAUGCAGCUUCCUCAGGGAAAAAGACCCAAGCUCCCACGUGUAAAGAUCGAGAUCAGCACGACUAAUUAUGCUUAGCUACUUAAGCACUAUCAUCUUUAAUUAAUUCCACGCGGUCGCCGUCCAACCCAACACAACUUUAAUUAAUUUGUUUCUUUUUAUCUGAACACAGCUUUGCUGGAGGAAACAGACACCUGCGUGCGACGGACAGCUCCAGCUUGUCUGUUUUAAUUUCUUUCACCAUGUACACAUACUUUCUUCUACAAACCCAUAUCACAAUCAAUAGUUGUAAGAAAAUGAUAAUUUGUCAGCUAAUAAUACAUAAAGAAUAGCUAACUUCGACAAACAAAGUGAUGCAUAAUUUCUUUCUACCGAGGGCAGCAUGUUUCCAAAUAAAUUGGCAUUACCGGAGCCAUCUCAAAAGAAAAUACCUCAUCCGUCCGGGAACAAGUGACCAGGAUUGUCUAGAUUCGCAUGCAUCUAUAAAUUAGAACUCGUCCAGAUACAUACAGUUAUCUAGACAAAUCUGAAUCACUUAGUACUUACUUUAGAGGUAUAUAGCUCAAGACCGUCCAUCGGAAAAGUUUAUGACAAAAUCAAGAGAGAGAUGGGCACAUCGGAGAUAUUCCUCGAGGUAUAUCCUAGUUAACCAGUAUGACUCACGUUUGGGGUCUUAGUUGAAACUUGAAAGAUGUCCACCAUAAGUGUAUUAUAGAUCUCUUCUUUUUCUCGGCGCAUUGGUGUUUUCUGUCCGUUUAGUUGUAUAGGUAUGGCAUUGUAUUUUGAACUAUUUUACGGUGAUUGUCGAGUACUUCUCGGUACUCCCGCCGGAAUUAAUUCUGUCCAUUGAUCUGCAUUAUUAAUCUAUAUCUAUACUAUUUUGUUUUUGAGCUUUAUCUGUAAUAUUCUUCUUUAAUCGUGUUCCCCAUGGAAUAAACGGUUUAGAUUUAUCAGGCUAGGCCCACCCUUCGCCUUCAUCGUUUCUAGACUGAAUAUCUGUUUCCCCUCCUGCCAUGGUGCUGUGUGGCAAACACGACGCCGGCAUGCGCGUCUUCCGGCCGGAGCCCAUCGAGGUGUUAUGUGAAGAUUGUCUGCUUACGCGAGAGGAUGAAUAAUCUCGUGCGGCAUUCGGUUUCCAGGAACGUCAAUACUAAUCUGCACUUUUCUGUCAAAGCAAUCAGUCGAUUGUUUAGCCGUGAUACAGAGAGAGGCACACCGACCAGAUUGCCAUCGUUGGGUGUUCCUUCGGAACCCAUCUCGCACUCUCCGGCUAUCCCUUAAUAAUCCCCUUUGGCCCGCCCUCUAGCAGUUUCUCCGGCGGCCCCAAAAUUCCUGACCGGCGUUGCCUCUCGCAGCAGCCAUCGAACGAGGAACAGCGGGAGGUGGUGACCAUGAGUCCAUGAUAAUUCGGCUGAAAAACUAUGUUCAACCAUGACAGCGAGGAUUGCUGGUGGAGGCCGAGCUAAAACUAUGGAUAUGUCAGAUUUACCGAGGGAAAAUGGCAGGAGGCAGAGAGGGAGGUGCAUGUGGGAAGAAUCUAGUUGAGCUCUGGGAGAUCGAGGCGGCGGCCGGAGCCGGAGAAGAACGGCAGUGCGAUGCGUGGGACGACGAGUUGUAGUGGAUUUGUUCAUCGCUCAACUCACAGGCUUACGGGAUUGCAUGAUCCUUUCCAUUUAUUUUGAGAUUACAAGUUUGUUUUUAAGCGAUCAAUCAUUUUAGUUAAAAAUAAAUCAAUAAUUCUGAUAGUUUCUAAUAUUUUCCAGUACUUUUGUUUUACUAGUUUCCGGUACUUUUCCUUUCUCUGCCAUUGGAUCAGCUAGGUUGGACGGUUUCUAAAAUCGUCAACCAUUGUAAAACUUGUAGUUUUAUAAGAGAGAAAUCUUCCUUGCGCAAUGUAGGUCAUGAACGUUACAGUUAUGAACUUUGUUUAGCAUACGCAACACAAGCGAGAACUCAAUACGACCAGAUGAAAAGAAACACCGAUUACAACACCGAGCACACACCACCACACACACUCACAGAAAAUGGGAUCAGUCAAUUGUAUUUGUUGUAAACAACGGUUGUGUAGGCAUUUAUUUCUACUUUUGUAAAAUAAUCCUAGCUAAUCUUACCAUGCUGCGAGCUGCCCCACGUUGAAACUAAAGAAAUUAAGAUGGGCCGGCCAGCUAGCUUUUUUACAAAGAGGAGUUGACACGUGACAGGGAAGGGGGGGGGGGGGGGGGGGGGGCGCAUCACGCAUGCAUCGACCGAUCGAGAUCCCUAGGAAUAGCUAGCAAUGCGUCUAGUCUCUAGUCACUGCAACAACACAACAUACAGAUAUAUAUAUAAGCUGCAGCACUAUUAUUGUUUCCAAUGGGUUGGAGUUGUAAAGUGAAGCUUUCAUGUUAAGUCACGGCCUCCUCUUUGGAGGACACGCCUUUUGCAGCAUGUGUGGGCCUGACGCCAAUCAGAGAAUGUCACGGAAAGGAGGAGGGUGGAAAGGAAAAAGAAGAGGUUGAUGGAUGGAUGAAGGGUUUGUCCCUCCCAGCCAUGAUGGAUGCAGGGUUGAUGGAGAGGCCUCUACAAAGCUCAUGCAUUGCCUGCUAUGAGAGGUGACGUGGAAAACCCUUGUGUUUCUUGUGCCUGGAAAUCUAUCUAAUGUAUCCAUCAAAGAAAAAAAAAACUAUCCAAUCCAUUGUUAGGUGAAGUCUAUCCUAUAAUUUUGAAGCUGGCCGACUUUACCGGGCCUCAUCCUCUGUCCGAGAUUAGAUAUGUGAUCGGUUACUCUACUUAACGCAAGGAAACAACACUUACGACCAUGAUUUGAUCUGACAUAUCUGGCUUAACGACUGAUCAUCCAACCUGGUUGCAUGAUUAUUGAUUCAUCACCGUUUCAUGUGUCAACAUCGAUUCUCAUAUCCAUCCCUUCGAGCCUAUCUGAGAACCCUAGCGGUCUCUCUGGACUUUGUUGUCAACCUCCUAACUCUCUCUGUUUCGACUUUCGAGCAGUCACGAAACAUAAUCUACGUAGGUUGAAUCAACCAUGCCGUAGACCAACGUGUGGACCACUAGCCAUACUUCAGCGGAAGUUAAGAGUGAGUUGGGUAAAAAUUAUGGAAAAAAGUGAACCUUUUUUCUGCGAAAAAGCCCAUACGAUGAAAUUAUGCAUGUCCCAUGGUAAAUUGAGGGCUAAAUUUAUGGGAAGAAAAACUAAAAUAUGAAGUAAAAUAGCCAUGAGUACAACAACUUGAAAAAACAUCCGGUCAACCCCCUAAGUGGCAUGCAUGUACAGCUACGGUCCAGCUUACGUCGUGGCGCCGAAUUCGGCCAACAUGGCAUGAUGGUAUGGACAAGGGCAGGGACGUUACGUGGCAUGUACACUGCAUGGGAUGUAGCCUCCGAAAUCGCCGCAUUCAUCAAAUCCAUCUCAAGCUUCUCCCUUUCCAAAUCCCUAGCCAACCUCUCCCUGCUCUCUUCUAAUCCAAAGCUAAUCAUACCAUUAUCACAGCCAGCAACAAGUUCCACCAACAAAAAAUCACCUGAUCAUUCAACGAGAAAACCCUACCAAAUGAUAUGAGGGCAGGAGCGUAUAAAUAUGUAAUUAGGAGGGAGCCGCCGACUUCAAAGUUGCAGUUCCAUGUUGUCAUCCAAUUGAUCGCCAUUGUGAAGCCUCGCACCUGAUGUUGACUUGAUCGAGGAAUCACCUCUCCUUAUGUCGCCGUCCUAGUCUCGCACAUGACUAGAAUUGAAGUGGCUAACUUUUAUGUGGCUUAUUUUGCAAAAAAGAAGCCCGAGGGGUUUACGUGGCUGACACGUGAGACAAAAUCCCGCCACGCUGGAAUAAGAUGGAGUCACGACGUAACCAUCGAUGCAUGCACAUACCAGUUUACGGCAUCAAUGUUGCGGUUUUUGAGUUGUUACAGUUAUGUGCUUUCGUCGGUUUUUGAUUGUUACAGUUAUGUACUUAUGUGCUUUCAUCUGCCAAGUUGUUGUCUGCUGGACGAAUUUUACCUAAAAAACUACUCCGUACGUUCUACGAACAAAAAAAGAAGAAGCAAUUUUGCCCUUUUUGACUCGUGAUUUCCUACCGCCACCUCUCACCAAACCACGUAAAAUGAUCUGAAGCGCGGUUGCGUCUCGUGGCCAGCUUUUUUUUUUCCGAAACAAUGGGCUCUUCACAUCGAUUUCUAUUAAAAAACCCGCUCCUCCUACGGUCUUACAGAAAGUGCGCCAAAAUCUCGUGGUCAGCUGCUCGAACAGGCAAGCACAAGCACGAUGUCAAACGAGACGAGAGGUUUGUCUGGCUGACUGGCUGGCUGCUGGUGUCCGCGUUGCUCGGUCCUCUCUAAUUGCGGGCCUCCUGCGCAAACAACGAGCCGCCAGCCAGCAGCGGCCCGGGUGCUCCUCUGUCGGUCCAACGUUUCGCUGGACUUUCAAACCCAAAACGCGCGCUCGAGGAUGCCACGGGCCAUGGCCUGCUCCGAGGGAUUGCUGGGCCCUAGAGCUUCGGUGUCCGUACGCACGCUACUAACCCAUGGGCCUAGACGCGCAGCCGGAAUCCAGCAUCUCCAUGGGCUGAAUCCAAGCCGCGGGCGCGCCGGACGAAGCCAACCUCGACUCGGGUCGAUUCGUUUUUUUUUCUUCUGAUGAAAAGGAACGUGGGUGGGUUGCAUUUCAGAAAAAACAAAAAACAAAUCCCUUUUCAGAAGAAAGACAUUAAGACAAGAUACACUGGGACCCGUCAACAAAAAAAAAAAAAGAGAUCAGAUAGCUCAGGAUAACAAGAAAUGAUCACCUAGAUUUUGUUUUAGUACACUGCGCGCUAUACCAUCACUCAUAAUUAUUCAUGCGAACGAGGAAAUUUCUAAGGUUGCACGGCUACUGGCCCGGUGGAGAAAGAAUAGAGGCCCAAAAUUAGCAGGACAGUCAUUGAAAAAAAGAAAGAGCUGCAGGGAAUAAUAAUAAAACGUGAAAAGUAUGUAGACAGAAAAUCGUCAUUUUUCGCGCGGAAGUAUAUAGAAAAUCAUGAAUAAUUGGCCGUAUUUAUCUUCUCAAGUCUCGCUGAUGCUGACACAGACGAUAUUCAUGCCAAGAUUUUCCUUCCUUUGGAAGAGCUCUCUGACUCUCUCUCUCUCUCGAUUCUGCAGCGGUGGGUCCACGGCUCCGGGCACGCGCAAAGAGGUCGGUGACCUGUCACCUGUAGCGUCAAGUAAUCCUUUCCGAUCGGACGGACAGAGACACGUGGUACCCGCCCGAUCCGACGGCCGCCAGAAGGCGAACGACGUGGCAAGCCGAGCGGAGCCGUGGCCGGUGCAUCAGCGGCAGCCGGCAGCCGGCAGCACGGAGCUCUCUGCCUUUGGAAUCCGUUGGACCACGUGCCCGGGCCAGUAGAAGAAGGAUCAGUGGCAGGAUUGGGAUGGGGGACUCUCGUGGACUCGUGUUCCGUCAGAACCGAAAGUCUGAAAGGAGCGGGAGAGGCAGGCGACGUCGUCUCCUCGUCUUCUUCCUCCUCAUCCGCCGCCGCCGCUGCCGCAGGUAUGGGCCGUCUCCCUCCGUCCGGACUCGCUCUCUCCUCUCUGUUUUUUCUCCAGCCCGCACGCGCGAUUGGCGGCCGCCCCGGCCCGCCAGAUCCCCCUGCGCGCGGCCGCCGCGCGGACUGCCAAUCUCGUUUUUAGUUCUGCGAUUUCAUGCAGCGAUCAGGCCAUGGAUCGGGCAAUUAGAUGAUGUUUUUUGCCGUCUGUUUGUUAAACUGGGAUUUCUACUCGCAAUCCUGGGAAGAGAGACGCAUCAUGCACAUGCAUGCAAACUCCUUACACACACUCAAGAAAAAAUAAUCUUACUCACCCUGUUUUGAAAUGUUCACUCUGAGAUGUUCUAGUUUUGAUCUGGUUCAAACAUUUUUAAAUUUGAUCAUAGAACGAUGUAUCGACAUCUGCAAGUCUAAAUCUGUUUUUAUUAAAUCUGUCACGGAGGGGUAUCUUUUUGUAUACUUAUUUUAAUAAUAUAGACAUAUUUAUUUAAUAUUUAGAUAUUACUCCGUAUUAUAUUUUUCUAUAAAUGUGGCACAACUUUAAAAAGUUUGACUUGGAAAAAGGUUAAAGCAUUUUAUUUUUGGGAUGGUUCGUACUACCUUAAACUUGAAAGCAAAUUUCAUUUCCUAGGGAUCAGGAUCAUCCUCUGUUGCUCAGAUUCCUCAAGCCUCAUGGUUUUAUUCGAACCAUCUUUUUUGUUCGUGGCGUCUCUGAUUGAUGACCUCAUGCCACACUUCUGGUUAAGCUCUCGACCGCUUUCCAUUAUUUUAUCUCCAUUUCACAUGUCCGUAUAGGAUCCUGUUGCAUUGAGCUUGCGUGUGGGGGGGGUAAAGGUACGUUGAAGCUUAGCGUUCCAAUGUUUAGGUACUCUUCUUUCAACGAAAGUAUAUAUCAUGUACUGUUAUUGUUUAUAUAUUCUCGAUGCUCCCUCUGUAAUCACACACUUAAGUGUCUUUACCUCUAGACCGUCCAAUUUGCUCAGAGGAAUAUAUCUUCCUGACUAAAGUAGAUGUCUUUGGCUCGAGCAUGGUCAUCCCAAUUGCCAGAUCAAGAUUGGUCCAAAUUGCCACUUUUUGAUGUACAUACUGUAUCUUUCCUUUGGUCCACUAUUUUCAGGUCUUCGUGUUCAUUUAUCUUAUCUUCUUUUGUUAGUGGCUAUGGUUCUUGCCAUCCUAUUGGGAAGCUAUCGUACACCUCCACUAGUAGGCAUAUUCUUUGUACUUAGUUACUGAGAUAGUGUCAUUACAAAGCGUACCUAUAAAUAACACCCCUUGUUGAAUUGUGUGUUUGCAGCUAACAGGCUUGAGGGUCCUUUGGAGAGAGUGGGAUGAGUGGCUCAAGGCAAUGCUCAUCACAGCCACAAUUUAUGACCAGCGUCGGGCAGAAUAAUCGCUCGAAUGGACCUGGCACUCCUCUUAUUGACAGCGUUGAUGUUGAUCAGAUUGUUAUUUCGGAGGUAUGGUAUAUGUGUAUGAUACUUCUUGAUUGGUUUUGAAAGAUAAAAAAGAGUCACUAUGGCAACUACUAUCCGAGCUUAGUUAUUAGGUUCAUUCUUUGCUUCCUUAUUCAAGAUUAUUCUCACAUGUGCAUCUGAUGCGGUGAUGUUUUAGAAUUUGUACUUUUAACGUGAUGUGCCAAAAUCAGUGUUUUUCUGGAUUUAUCUCUGGAUGCUGGGGUCAAAUGAAGAAGACUGACUAUUUGUGCUAUUGACAGAAAAACAGUUGGAAGAACUUGUUCUCAUACAUAGGGCCUGGAUUUCUCGUCUCUAUUGCAUAUAUUGAUCCUGGCAACUGUAAGAUUAGUUGGAUUUGUUUUUAAUUUCAUUUUGAGUACUCAUUCUCUAUUUUGUCUGCUGAUGACUACUAAAAUCGACCCAUCUGCAGUUGAGACGGACCUACAGGCUGGAGCACUAUACAAAUAUCAGGUGCAUCACUAUUUUUGUCUUGUUUCUAGCAUUUUGUGGUCCUGUCUAUCCUAUCUUUCCUAGAAAGUAUGGGAUUCUAUAGAGGGAACUUUUGUCAUCUAUCAUUCAGAUAGUUCAUGAUUAUCACUACCAAGAAUCAUAACCAUAUUGUUUUAUUGCCAGCUUCUUUGGAUCAUACUUAUCGCGUCCUGUGCUGCACUUGUAAUCCAAUCACUUGCAGCCAGCCUGGGGGUUGUAACUGGUCAGUAUUAUGAGACAUGCAGCACUAGCACUUAUCUUUGUUUUGUUUAGCAUCCAUUAUUGCUUGAUUGCUUCCACGUGAGCGUUUCUGAUAAUUUUUCAACUUUCACUGUAUGAUAGGGAAGCAUCUUGCUGAGCAUUGCAGAGCUGAAUAUCCCAAGGUCACAAAUUUCAUCUUAUGGAUUCUUGCAGAACUGGCUGUAGUCGCAUGCGACAUUCCUGAAGGUAUUAAAAUAUGGAAAGACUUAAAGUAGAACUUCUGCCACAUGCUUUGCAUUCUGAUUGAAUCACAGAGCUACCUGGGUUCCACAGUUCAGAUGUUUCAUGAUGUUGCAGGCAAACCCCAUUAUAUAAACAAAAUCUAAAUUUUAAAAAUUGCAGUUUGUGAUACGGAAACUGUCAGUUAAAUUUCCAUGUAACAGAUAUUUGCAACUACAUGUUGAUUCUGUCUGGUAAUUAUACCUAAUCAGAUUUGGUGAUUGCUCAUUCAUUUCAGUAAUUGGAACUGCUUUUGCUUUGAACAUGCUCUUUAAAAUCCCGAUAUGGUGUGGUGUUCUCAUAACCGGAUUCAGCACUCUGAUGCUCCUGUUCCUACAACAAUAUGGGGUAAGAAUAUGUCCUUUUUUACUUUCAGAGUAUUUCUGAAAGGUUAGUAUUUUUCCAUGAGGUUCCAAUGCCAUAGGUUAAAGAAAUGUUUUUUUUUCCUUUGGAGACCUGUAUGUUUUUUGCCGCUUGCAGUAUUUUUUUUUCUGGAACCUACAAAGUACUUUUUAAAUGAGCUUUGUUAGCCGUUACCACAGGUCUUUAACUAAGUAUUGCAUUAGUCUCACACGAGCAAUGUUUGUAGUCUUGUUGCUCAUAUUGCAUAUUGCGUUUUUUUCAAUGCAGGUCCGUAAGCUGGAAUUUCUGAUAGCUUUUCUGGUAUUCUUAAUAGCAACUUGCUUCUUAGUUGAACUUGGUUAUUCUAAACCAAAUUCUUCAGAAGUAAUGAGGGGCCUUUUUGUUCCUGAGAUCAAAGGAAAUGGAGCUACAGGUUCUGCUAUCUCACUACUUGGUGCCAUGGUGAUGCCGUAAGCUUCUUAUCCAUCUCUUGUUCCCGAGCAUUUCUUAAUAUUCUAAAUUAGACAUUUUUUCAUUUUUCUAUUAAAAAACUGCAGGCACAAUCUUUUUCUCCACUCAGCAUUGGUACUAUCGAGAAAAGUGCCACGAUCUGUUAAUGGGAUCAAGGUAUUUCCUUACCUUAACCUAACGUGUUAUUGUUGUUUUGAUAUCCUAUGUGCACCCAAAUUUGUCAAUGUUUGUAGGACUAGGCAUUAAUUCGGUCUGAAUGUUCGGGUAUUUCGGGUUCCUAAAAAUGAGAAUGAAUUCCUGAAGAGGAAAAACAAGAACCGAUUGACCGUUUAAUUCAGCGGUUCCCUGAAUGGACCGAAACAUAUAAAGACCUUUAUUGCUCCUCGAUUUUUUUACAUGAACAGUAGAUCAAACAUAACAAAUUAAUGAACCAAUCACAAAAAAUAUCUCCGUUUUAAAAAAACAAACCAAUCACGAAAAAAUAUAGCAACAAUACAUAAUGAAUGCCCAGUCAGUCAAACACAAGUAGUUGGAAAUUCAUACUCCCUCCGUACAACAAAUUAUGUCUCAAGGUUGUCAAAAUUUGGAUGUAUUUAGACAUGACUUAGUGUAUAGAUGCAUUCAAAUUUAGUCAAAGUUGAGACAUCUUUCGUUGGACGGAGGAAGUACAACAUACUCUUAGAUGUUUGGACUCAAUUGCUCACGUGCUCAAGGAUUUUACAAAAAAUCCGGUCUAUAUGGUUUAUUUGGGUUUUCAAUGUCGAGACCUGAACCCGAGACUCAAUAAUAUGAAAGUAAGAACAGAACCUGAAACCCGAUACCUGAAUAGACCGACAAUUUGGUCUAUACGGGUCCGCUUCGGCCUGGUUUUCGGGUUUCAGGUCUGAAGUACCCACCCCCAGAUGUUUGGUGUGUUGAGAGCACAUCUUAUUAUUAAUUUCAGAAGUAUGCAUGAGGAUUACUUACAUCUUUUUCUACUUCCUUGCAGGAGGCCUGUAGAUUCUAUAUGAUCGAAAGCGCGUUUGCCCUCACAGUAGCAUUUCUGAUCAACAUAUCUAUCAUAUCUGUUAGUGGUGCAGUCUGCAAUUCAAAUAAUUUGAACCCAGAAGAUCAGAUGAACUGCACUGAUCUAGAUCUUAACAAGGCUUCAUUUUUGUUAAAGGUUGGUCAGGACUUUGGUCUUUAUAUUAUGGUUUCAUCAUAAGUUUAUUUUUAAUUAGACAAUAUUUGCUGAAGAACGCUGUUGUAAGUAUCAUGUGCUAAGUUAGCAUUUGAUCUGGAGGGUGGCAAAUGCUCUAUUCUUUCUCAAUUAGACCUAAUUACUAACCGAUAUGCAACAAAAGAAAAUAGCUUUUGUGUGUGUGUGUGUGGGUGGGGGGGGGGGGGGCGGGCUUGAACUAAGCUCCGCCAUUGCGUGUUGAUUUCUGCCUGUUGCUGUAGAAUGUCCUCGGAAAUUGGAGCUCAAAGGUUUUCGCAAUUGCCUUGUUGGCAUCUGGACAGAGUUCUACAAUUACGGGAACUUAUGCAGGACAAUAUGUCAUGCAGGUUUGCAUCUCUUGUAUCUAUCAUGUAAAUUGCAAUGUUGUCGGAAUGUAUCUUGUUCUAGUGCAUAGAAUACUCAAAUAUAUUUGCAAAUGUAAGCAAAGAUGUAACAAAGUAACCAUGCAUGUGAUUUUUAACGACAUUUAGUAUCUUAAUUGAGCUUUGUAUAGGUAUCACAUCGAAAUAUCUACAAGGGAAACAUUAUGUUUGAAAUGCAUGCUUUUUCUUGGUUUAUUAAAUUGUGAAAAAAGUGGACAAGAAAGUGGGAAAACUUGGGGCACUACCAUUGCUAUUAUACCAGCUUAAUCAAGAUAAAUUAAACUGUAGAUAAAAUGGAUGGAGACGGUAGUAAGCCCUGGGCAAAAAACAUGGUUGGGAACUAUCCUACUUUUUUAUUUAUUUUUUGCAUGUAAAUGGAAAGUAACAUAUUCCAUACCUCUGAAUUUUUAUCUUAUAUACUGUGAUAACCUUUAGUCUUUUCUUAAUCUAGGGAUUUCUAGAUCUUCGGAUGACAUCUUGGUUACGGAACCUUCUAACUAGGUCCUUGGCAAUUGUGCCUAGUCUGAUUGUAUCACUAAUUGGUGGUUCCUCAGCAGCCGGCCAAUUGAUUAUCACUGCGUCGGUAAUUGCUGAAACUCUUUGCUUUUCCAUCAUCCUGCUGCUAAUCUUUAUAAGAAACUCUGCUGCACAUGAAAGUCAAUCUGUAUAUGUACUUGUAAACUUUAUUAUAAUUUCUGACUGUUAUAUGCAGAUGAUACUGUCAUUUGAACUUCCUUUUGCUCUAGUGCCACUUCUUAAGUUCACCAGUAGCAAAACAAAGAUGGGGCAGCACGUAAAUUCACGAUUCGUAAGUUUUUCACCGCCAAUAAUUGGAAAUGCUAAACAACAUAGCAAUGUGAUUACUCAUUUCCGAUGCAUCUAACUGGCAUUCCGAUGCAUGCAGAUUUCUGUGCUAACAUGGGCUAUCGGUUCAUUCAUCGUCAUCAUCAACAUCUACUUCCUGAUAACCAGCUUUUUGAAUGUGCUCCUCCACAGCGGGCUAUCCACCGUGUCCCAAGUAUUUGCCGGAAUAUUUGGGUUCCUUGGCAUGCUCAUAUACAUUGCCGCGAUCCUCUACCUCGUCUUCCGGAAGAACAGGAAGGCCACCCUGCCAUUUUUCGAGAAUGAUUGCACGGUUGCAGUCACGGGCCAGAACGUAGGCACCGGGGGUGGAGGCUCUGAGCUGGGCCAUCUUCCCCGGGAGGAUAUCUCCAGCAUGCAGCUUCCUCAUCAGCGGCCUGCAUCUGAUCUGGACUAAAUGUAGUAGUCGCAGUGAGGAAAGUAGCUAGAUAAUAUUUCUCAUGAUGAGCAGUCGCUCUAUAACUGAAGAGCUAGGUGUCAUCAGGUAUUGACGUACUAGGUAAAUCCUGAUGCUAUCUAUAACUUCCUUUCUGAAAGAGAGUCUCGUGGACAACAAUUUUCCUGCUAUGCCGUCAAUUGUAUACAGGCGAAUUGCUAUAAUCAUAGUAGAGUUGUUUUUUUACAGUAUCACGGAAUUAAUUUGGACGGUCAAUUCCCUUUGAUCUGAAGACAGUCACUGAGAUUAGUUUAUACUCCUUGAUAAUCCAAUUUAGAUGUAUAGAGUAUCAUCUCAAAACAAAAGCGGAGUAUCAAGAGCCAUGGGUAAAAAUGUAAUCUAAUCCACGACGCUGGCAGUUUUCCCUCUUUCUCCAUUUCCCUUGGCGCUCUCUCUCUCUCUUUGUUAUAGCUGGCCAUCGGGCCCGGGCCCAAAGAAAAGCCCGAUGGACUAGUCUUAAGUUGUGCCAAUACCUAGGCCGGCAUGUGCUGCGCCUAGGCCGCAACUUUGCGCUCAGCCCGAUUAGCACUUUUUUUUUCAUACCAGGCUUCCAGCAGCUGGCAUUGUGCAUAUGCCUCUUUCCUCCUUUUUUUAUGCAUUUACUAACUACUGUUGCUGGGCUCAGCCCAGUUAGCAUUUUUCUUUUGUUUUUCUUUAUUUCUUAAUGUUGGGCCUGGCCUAAUGAGCCUUUUCUUUUUCUUCUUCUUGCUGGCAGGGAAGUAGGGAACGGGCCUGGGCUAUUUUACAUGCCCUUCAGGUUUAAAGGGGCCAGUGUCGGGGGAUGACCCCGGGUAGAGUCUUGCCGACACACAUUAGCCGAGAUGACGAAGGCAAGACCGGCAUAGGCAUAUACGCCGGCACCCUUAAGCCAAACUAAUACUAAGCCGGGAUACCAGGUGUAUGCCGGCACGUUUAUCUUGUCUUACGUGUUUGCAGGAUAAGGACGAGUACACUGAUCUCGGCCCCCGCCGAGAUGGAUCAACGAUCUUAUCCUUAUCUCAUGGCGCAAAUAAAGCAGCGUUCUCUUUAUCACGGGAAAGCAGUCGCUGCUUACGUCGCGGUGCCAGACGACUGCGCAGAGAAGCACCGAAAGAGAAUCUGUGACGGAAGCCGGUAGCUGGCAGCAGUACUUGUUGCAAGGCGCCAGAAAAAGUAAAUUUGUCUUGUCCCCUGCGGUGCCACCUGGAGGGAACCAAAGCGCGUGCCCAGCGGGGCCCAAAGAAGAUAACGUUACCCCUUGACCCACAUGUUAGUGGGACAUGAGCGGUCCAUAAAUAGAGCACCGCCCCUCUCCGGAGAGGGGGCGAUGACUUAGACAUAGAGGGUUUUCCCUUUCUUCUUCUUCUUCUUCUUCCUCAAGAAUACAGCUCAGGGAGCACAAUUGUAGAUCUCGGUAUCUCGGCUAAUACAACAAAGUAGGAGUAGGAGUGUUACCUCGGCAAGAGGGCUCCGAACCUGGGUAAAUCUAUGUGUGCUUGAGUGCUUGUGCGUGUUUCUCUUCACGUCCUCCCUCCUCCGGAUCCUCCUUCGUCCAUCGGCCCCAACAUAAGCCAUCCUAAGGCAUCUGCCGUGACACCACCACGACAGUUGGCGCCCACCGUGUGGCCAGCAGCGGUGCUGGCUGGAGUUUUCAUCCGGACGGGAAGCUUCCUCGUCACCGGAGAGCGCGUGGUCUCGGGUUUGGUCCAGAGAUUCGGCUCUCUGGGCUUCAUCGACAACAAUGCGGGCUGCUUCAACAACGCACCGCUUCCUUGCGUGGGCCGCUUCAUCAACUUCAGCAUGCAUGAGGUUUAUGUCGCUACCGACAGUCCCUGCAGGUACCCCGAGCGGGUGGUGGUGGCCGAAGAUCCCCCUGCUGUCUGCACGGUUCGCUGCAGGCAUGUCGACUGCCCCGCUGACCGUGUGGAGGUCAUGGUGACGGCUCAUGGCGUCGAUGCUGGCAAGGGCACCGCAGAGAGUGGCGCGGUCCCAAGCAAAUCCGGCAGAAUGACGAAGUUCCCCCUGGAGAAGCCGGAUAACGUUGCUGCUCAAGCCGGCACAUCGGCUCUGCCACCAAAGCCGACUCAGCUCCAUGCCUCCAUCGAAUGGCUGACCGUGCUGCUGGCGUCGAACGCUAACCCGGCCCAGCUGCAAGCGGAGUUGGAGUUGGAGCGCCAAAAGCUGCUGAAGGAGGCUGUCGAUGUGGCUCGCGCUUGGCAAGAACUUGAUAUCUCGCUCCGUGAGUAUAACAAAGCCCAUGGUCUCAAUUCUACCGCAUUGACUAACCCUAGCCGAGUUGGGGAAGUGCGUAACCGUGGCAGGAACUUAAACGCUGAGAUAGCUAGAGAUGGCAUAGGGGUACUCGCAGUGUCGGCAAGUUUUGCCUCGGCACUGAAGCCGAAAUACAACACCCCUGUCAAGAAUCUCAGGGCCGCCGAGGCUGCGGCCGAAGAGUUGCCGAAUCUCAGGGGAGAGGCACUCCGGCUGCAGCAGUUACGCGUGAAGGAGUUGCUCCGCAUGGCUAACGAGCAGAAUGAAGCAUACAUGAGGUUGAACGGCAAGCCCGGUGCAUCUCAAGUCAUUCACUCGGCAACAGGUGCUGAUGGCCGGGCUGACAAGCAAGCAUCCUCGCCUGGUGGCAAACGGGACAAGAGUGUCAACUCAGGCCGAGAUAAGCGCCUAGAGCAUUAUGAUCCGGUUCUGGCCGAGAAACAAAUGGUCAGGAGAGUCGAUGACAGCCAGAGUGGACUGCGUCUCGGCAACAAUCGCCGAGAUCAGCAAGAGCGUCACUCGGCUGGUCAUGGAAACCAACCUCGGGGUCCGACACCCAAUACAGCUGCUUGUCAGCAGGGUGUCGGGCGCAACCCCCUGUAUCGAGGUGAAGAUCGCCGGCAAGACCGUUACGAUGACGGGUACUCGGCCAUGGGUGAUGAAGGUUAUCUCAGGCGAGAGCGUGAUAAUCUCGGCCCACUCGGAGCUCGAGUUGGGAACAUACAAGUGUCGCCGCUGGACGCCCGACAUCGGCUCGACAGAAUCUAUUUGUUGGAACUUCUGGAAGAACAAGGCCCACCGGGACCGCGUUGUUUCGCGCACCGGAUCAUGAAGGAGACACCAGCCCAGGGUUUUCAACUGCUCAGGGGUACGAGAACAUAUGCAGCGGGCUGAGAAGGGUGAGGCAAGUCGGCUGCCCCCUCCUCCACCGCUCACCGGCGCUAACGCCCAGGUCCAGGGGCCCCUUCUGGUAAUAAUGCCGUCAAUCAGGUGGAAGACCAAGGUAUCCGACAAUAUGCCAGAAGAAAUGAGUACAAGGAGCAUCACCAGAGCUACAUGAUUUUCAUCACGGAGCCGACCGACAAGCAAAGUCAGCGUAGGCGAGAGAUGGAAGUCAAUGCUGUGAUACCAUCUGUUCCUAAGUUUAUGUACUGGUCGGAACACGAGCUCAACUGGAACUGGGCAGAUCAUCCCAAGGUUAUGCCAAAUCCCGGCGGAUACGCUCUAGUGGUUGACCCGACACUCAUCAGGCCCGACAUUAACGUCAAGUUCACUCGGGUCCUCAUUGAUAAUGGGAGCAGCAUAAACAUCAUGUACCGGGACACGAUGCUUAAACUCGGCAUUACUGAUAACAUGCUUGAGCCUAGCCGGACUACCUUUCAUGGUAUCGUGCUGGGAGUAUCUUGUGCCCGGUAGGCAAGAUCCGAGUUGACGUUUUAUUCGGCACCCGGGAGAACUGUCAGACCGAGAACCUGGUGUUCGAAGUGGUGGACCUUAGCAGUCCGUACCAUGCCCUCCUUGGCAGACCGGCAUUGGCCAAAUUCAUGGCGACUACCCACAUAGGCUAUCUGAAGAUGAAGAUGUCAGGGCCGAAUGGCACCAUAACCAUUACUGGCAACUACAAGCGCUCAAUGGAGUGUGUGUUGGGAAUAUGCCCUAGAGGCAAUCAUGUAUGAUGUAAUUCCCAAUGUAUUCAUAAAGAUUAUUAAGUUGUCCUUGUUUGAACAUCUGAUAUGUAUCAUUGAAUAUGUGAUUUGAUUGUGGAACUAUGUAUUCAUGUUGUUCAUACGAAAUUGUCCUUAGUCAUUGAGGUUGUGCUGGACACAUAACCUAGACUAAUGUGAAAGUUGGCUGAUGACUCGGUUCCACUUGUCAUGGGCAUGGUGAUGUCAUUCCAGCUUACACGGACUUGGCUAAAGAAUUUAGCGAGUCGGACUGACCCAUAUUGAGAUGCAACGAGUAGGUCGUCAUUUGCAUGUCUCAAUCAAUGUAAUCCUUAGACCUGAGGUUACCGCACAAUCCGAGUUGUGGAUCACCAACUUAGGUUCUGUCAAACGUUGUUCCGUAACAGGACAGUUAUCAAGGCAGAGUUCGGGUUGACUGAGAAUCAAGCUGUGUGAUGUGGAUAACCAAGAUGGGAUUUUGGCCCUCCGACUGGAGAGAUAUUCUUUGGGUCCUCUCGAGUGAUAUGAUUCAGGAAGUAUGGCCUUGCGCGACUCGGUUAACUGUUAACCGGGUCGAUCGACUAAGAGUUAGUCAGAUGAAUCGUAUAUCACAGAUCGAGAAGAGAGUUGAACUAUUAAAGGGAUGACGAUUAAUCGCCUAUAGUUCGACAAGGUAUAUCGUGAGGCAAAAGGGACUAAGACGUAUGUCACAUAGGAAGGUACGUCAUCAUGACUCGAUGGUACUUGGGAGUCGGCACGUUCUGCUAGGAGCCGCUACCGAUUGAUCGAUUGAGAGUCGGACUCCAAUCGUGUCCAAGUCGCCAUGAGCCUGCGGGGUCACACACUUAAGAGUAGGAGCAAGUAUUUGGUCGGGUUGGACCCGAACCGGAAAUGGGCUGACAAUGCGAGUUGGACUCGCAGAGUGGAUGGGCCACAAGUGCUGGAGCCCACUUCCACUCGGUAUAUAAGCAGGGGUGUGGGAUGCCUAAGGGGCACGGUUCGCCACUCUCAUGCGUUGAGAACCCUAGCCCUAUUCAGUCCAACCGUCGCACCGGACCUAGCAGUCCGCCGCCGGAGCUCCUCCUCGCACGUGUGGAUACCGGCAGAGGUGCUGUACGUUCAGCACUUCGACGAUCGCGGGAUUGGAUCGGCUGGAUCGGAUCGAGGGACUGCACUGCAUUAAGGCGCUGCAUCGAUAAUCCGCAACUGCGCGUCUAGUGGUAAUCCUCGUGGCCUUCUACCUCGGCUAGAUCUUGGGAGUUCGCGUAGGAAAAGUUUUGUUUAUCUCUACGCGCCCCUUCAGUGUGUGGCGGCCGGAUCUGCUUUGGCCGAGUCACUGGUCAUUGCUGACGAGAAGAAGAAAUUACAAGAAGCUGUUGCGAUGGCCCAGGCGGCACAGAUUGGUCUGUCGGCUAUGACCAAUUCCCAUGGAAGUGUGGCUUUUCAGGUAGCCAAGGAGACGAAGAAAAUACAGGUCGACAGUGAAUUCUCGGACCGCACCGUCAUCAUUGGUGCCGGCCUGGGUGAAAAAUAGGAAGGCGAGCUCACCAGCUUCCUCCGUGAGCAUCGGGACAUCUUCGCAUGGUCAAAUCAGGACCUGUCGGGUGUGCCAAGGGAGCUGGCUGAGCACUCAUUACAUGUCAGACCAGGCGCAAGACCGGUGAAGCAGCCCCUUCGAUGCUUCGCCGACGACAGAAGGAAGAUCAUAUCAGAAGAAAUAUCCCGGCUUCUAACUUCUGGCUUUAUCAUGGAGGUUUUGUAUCCCGACUGGCUGGCAAACCCGAUCAUGGUCGAGAAGAAGAAAGACGACCCAACUGUUGCCAAGGUGUGGCGCAUGUGUAUCGACUACACCAGCCUGAACAAGGCAUGUCCAAAAGAUCCUUUCCCGUUACCUCGGAUCGAUCAAGUGAUUGACUCUACUGCCGGGUGUGAGUUGUUGUCUUUUGUAGACGCGUACUCUGGUUUUCACCAGAUACCGCUGAACCCUAAUGAUCAAAUAAAGACAUCAUUUAUCACCCCGUUUGGGGCUUAUUGCUAUCGCACUAUGCCGUUUGGCUUGAGAAAUGCAGGGGCUACUUGUCAGAGAUGCAUGCAGAAAUGCUUGCACGAUCAACUCAGCAAAAAUGUGCAGGUAUAUGUCGACGAUGUCGUCAUAAAAACCAAGGCAAGUGCCACGCUGCUGGAUGAUAUCCGGGAAACAUUCGCAAAUCUGAGGAGAUUCCGAAUAAAGCUAAACCCGGCCAAGUGCACAUUCGGUGUGCUGGCAGGAAAGCUGCUUGGAUUCCUGGUAUCAAGCCGAGGUAUAGAAACGAACCAUGUGAAGAUUGCCGCCAUAGAAAGAAUGAAACUGCCAAAAUGUCUCAAAGAUGUGCAGAAAUUCACUGGGUGCCUAGCAUCGCUAAGUCGUUUUGUUAGUCGGCUGGGUGAAAAGGCAAUGCCCUUAUACCAGUUGAUGAAAAAAACCGACAAAUUUGUGUGGACGCAACAGGCAGAAGUAGCUUUUCAAGAGCUGAAGAAGAUGAUUGCUACGGCGCCAAUACUAGCCUCGCCAAUGGAGAAGGAGCCGAUGUUGUUGUACAUAGCAGCAACAAACCGAGUCGUUAGCGCCGUCAUAGUGGUGGAAAGAGAUGAAACCGGCAAAUCGGUGCAAAGACCGGUAUAUUACUUGAGCGAGGUAUUAUCGUCGUCCAAGCAAAAUUAUCCCCGUUACCAGAAGAUGGCAUACGGCGUUUAUAUGGCGGCAAAGAAGCUGAAGCAUUAUUUUGAUGCACAUCAAAUCCGGGUUGUAUGUGAGGCGCCCAUCUCGGAAAUCAUGAGCAAUAAAGACGCGAGCGGCCGAAUCGCAAAAUGGGCUAUUGAGUUAGCAGCCUACAUGCUGUAGUACGACAGACGGGAUGCCAUAAAAUCUCAGGCUCUGGCGGAUUUCCUGGUGGACUGGGCCGAGAUGGAAUAUGAGCCACCACCGCCUGAAACUAGCUACUGGAAGAUGCAUUUCGAUGGCUCCAAAAUGAAAAGUGCGCUUGGUGCCGGCAUAGUCUUAACUUCGUCUAAGCGCGACCAACUUAAGUAUGUGCUGCAAAUUCAUUUUGCGGCAUCCAACAAUGUCGCCGAGUAUGAGACACUCGUGCACGGACUAAAGAUGGCAAAAGAAAUCGAAGUUUGUACGAUUCAAUGCUUUGGCGACUCGGACUUGGUAGUUUAGCAAGCUUCCGACAAUUGGGACGCAUUGGAUGCCAAUAUGGCACUCUACCGCUUUCAUGUUCAGAAGAUCAGUGGUCACUUCGAAGGGUGCGAAUUCCAUCAUAUACCGCGGGUAGAGAAUGAGGCAGCUGACACGCUGUCGAAACUAGGCUCAACACGACAGGCCAUCCCGGCUGGUGUGGCAUUGGAGCAUUUACGCAAACUAUCCAUCAAGCCAUCACCAGAGUCGGAGUCAAUCUUUAUCCCGGAUAGCUCGGAAGCUGACGCCACCCCGAUGGACAUUGAUAGUGGCAGCGGUUCCGGUAAUCCGGGGACUGAGCACCCUAACUCGGUGGAAGCAAUGACGGUUGAACCAAUGGAGAUAGACGAACCAGAUGAGCCGGUUUUCACUACUCGCCCCGUACCGGCUUGGGCACAACCGAUAAUGUCUUACCUCAAAGACGGGAGUCUCCCGGAAGAAGAAGUGUCGGCAAGGCAAACACAGAAGGGCAAAGGAAUACACUAUCAUCAAUGGCGAACUAUACAAGAGAAGUGUUAACGUCUUGCAGCGAUGCGUUGAGCCGGCAGAAGGACAAGAAAUACUCUGAGAUAUUCAUCAGGGAGAGUGCGGUCACCAUGCAUCUUCAAGAACGUUGGUGGGCAAGGCAUUCCGGCACGGUUUCUACUGGCCGAGUGCAUUGCAGGAAGCGGAACACAUGAUCCGGAAAUGCAACGGUUGCCAGAGAUAUGCCAGCAAGAUUCACAUGUCGGCAUCUGAGCUCAAAACUAUUCCAAUCACUUGGCCAUUUGCUGUUUGGUGUUUGGAUAUGGUGGGACCUUUCAAGCGGGCGCGAGGAGGCAUGACGCAUAUCUUGGUCAUGGUUGACAAGUUCACCAAAUGGAUCGAAAUGAAGCCGAUACGAAAGUGUGAUGGCAAAACUGCGGUAUCAUUCUUGAAAGACAUCAUUUUGAGGUAUGGUUACCCGCACGGUGUCAUCACGGAUAACGGAACGAACUGCGCGGAAGGACCUUUUGCGUGAUUUUGCACAGAAAAGAAAAUUCGACUAGACGUUGCUUCCGUGGCACAUCCUUAGUCCAACGAAAAAGUUGAGAGAGCAAACGGCAUGGUUCUAGCCGUCAUAAAACCUCGGUUGAUCGAACCACUGGAACGCACUCCAAGAUUCUGGUUAGAUGAACUCCCAGCUGUGCUAUGGAGUCUCAGGACAACUCCAAAUCGCUCUACAGGCUACACGCCAUUCUUCCUCGUAUACGGGGCAGAAGCUAUCUUACCAGCCGGCAUUGAACAUGACUCUCCGCGAGUGACAAUGUAUACGGAGGCCGAGAUAAAAGAGGCCUGAGAAAAUGAUGUCGACCUGCUCGAAGAAGCACGGGAACUGGCUCUAUCUCGGUCGGCCAUCUAUCAACAACACCUAAGGCGUUAUCACAGCCGGAGGGUAAACCCACGAGUAUUUCGGGAAGGAGAUCUCGUGCUCCGACUUGUGCAGUGCACAGCCGGCAUGCACAAACUAUUUCCUCCAUGGAAGGACCCUUCAUUGUGAGUAAAGCGCUACACAACGAUUCCUACUAUCCUAUAGAUGCGCAGGAUCCCAAAGCGAACAGGAUGGACAGGUCAGGCGAGGAUACCAAGAGGCCAUGGAAUGUAGCUUUACUUCGUCCGUUCUAUACUUGAAAGAUGAGUAUUUGUAUCAUUUUCUCCUUAUGUUGAAUGUUUUGAGACAAUGAAAUUAUCCGCCGGAUUCUCAAAAGGAACUCGGGGACUUUCAUGCUAUUUAAGUGUUAUAUUGCAAUUAUCAUUUUGUAUGCCGGCAUGGCUUAGCUGUGUAAUCUUAUGUCGGUUUAGUACUGUGUCGGUAUUGAAAAUCCCCUCUAUGACUUCGCUGCUGUCCGCAACCCGGCUUCAUGGCAAGCUAGAGAUUGAGAACGAGAUAACUAAACACAUGAAAAACGAUUGCGGAAACAAACAAAGAAGCGAGCCGAGGUGCGCGUUGUUUCACUCAAACGGCAUUUCAUUCAGGUUUCGGGUAUUUCCAAGCGAGUUUGUCAAGUUUAAUUUUUUGAAAGGGUUGUUCUAUGACUUCGCGAUUCAUACGUCGAACGCCGACAAGGAAGACAACAGAACCGAAGUCAUAAAAUUUCACCAACAGAAAAAAUAUACUCGGUGACUCGGUUGGGAACUCGGUAAUUAAAAACUUAAAUAAGUUAAAAGUAUGGUGCUUCACCAACAAAAGUGUUAUUACUCGGUUACAUCUGCACCCGGCAUCCCGGGGAUCUGAUAAUCUUAAAGUAAUUUUUCUAACAUGCCUAAGAAGUAACGGAAGGAUUGUUGGCGCCGGAACUCGGCGCAUCUGUUGCAGUGGAAGCCGACUCGACGACAAUCUCUUCGUCGACUGCCUCCUCGUCUUCUUCUUCGGCCAUCUCGGCAUCAGCCUCUGAAACCGGGCCCUCCACAAACUUAUGCACGUCAGCAUAUUGGAUGAAGGAAUAAGCCCGCUCCUGCCGCUUCGCGAUGAGUUCCGGAUCUGAGAGGAAGGGGGAACCGACUCGCAUCGACUGCAGCACGUCGAGGUUGAUGCUGUCGUACCAAGAGAGUACGAACGACAAUGCCUCGUCGGCGCCGACACGAGGGGCUGACUCCCGCCAUUCGUUCAGCCGGUCCUCCACCUCCAGAAGGAGCUUGGCCAGUUCCGGGAUGCCGGUUGGGGCUUCUUCUCCCGGCCACAACGCUCGGAAGGCCCGGAUCCCGGCAUUGAGCAUAUUCACCCCGAAGCACUUUAGAGGCUUUACCCGGCUCGCAAUGCUGACCAAGUAAUCCUCCAAGUCAUAUUCGAAGGGUGCUGCCCUGGCUGGAUCCCUUCUUUUGCGGGCCUUGAUCACGACAGCUUGGGCAGUCUCAACAGAUUGUGGGAAGAAUUCUGACAAAGGCAAACAGGUAGUAAUGAGUCUCGGCACCCUAUUGCCACUUUCGGACGUGUGAUCAGAGGAAGAGAUUUGUAUAGGGGCAACUUACUCGUCAGCAUUGAGUCGAUCUUGAUGAGGUCACGCCGGCAUACGCUGAGCAGGCGGGCGUUCUCGGCCUUCUCCUUCUCGGCAGUACUGGCGCGGGUCUCGACCUUGGCGACGAGAUCCUUGCAUUUCUGCACCUCGCCUUUUAGGCGGAUCUUCUCGUCAGCUUGGGCGGAGAGGGCCGAGGUCAGUUGACCUACCUCAGUCUUGUGCGCCUCCGCCUGAGCUUCGAGUUGCGCCUUCAGCCGGGCCACUUGAUCCCGGUGCUGCUCUUCCAGCCGAGUCUUCUCAUCUGGUUAGCAGACGUAUGUUACAGAAGCUUGAAUUUAAAAUAGAUGAAACCCGGGAUGAGGACAAGCUUAUACCUUGUACUUCGGCGACACGCUUCAGGAGCUCAGAUACUUGAGCAUUGUCCCCGGCUGUAAACAAGAGCACGUAUAAGUUUUUGCAGUGCAAUAAUACUCGGACAAAGUCUUUAUGUCGGUGGAAAUGUGCUUACUCUGGCUCUGGCGCUCGGCUACCAAGGCCUUUUGCUCUGCCUCCAGCUUCUUAUGCUUCGCCAGCAACAUCUUAAAGGUGGCCGUGCGCUUGUUCAUGCAGGUCUGCAAGAUAAUAAUCAACAGUUAAUUCUAUUGCAGUGAGAGGUCAACAAUUUUUAAGCUUCAGGCUGACUAUUCUAAACCCGGCCUGAAUCUCAGGGAAUAAGUUUUUGAAGUUUUUAAGCUUCAGGCUGACUAUUCUAAAACCCAGCCUGAAUCUCGGGGAAUAAGUGUUUGAAGUUUUUAAGCUUCAGGCCGACUAUUCUAAAACCCAGCCUGAAUCUCGGGGAAUAAGUGUUUAAAGUUUUUAAGCUUCAGGCCGACUAUUCUAAACCCGGCCUGAAUCUCGGGGAAUAAGUGUUUGAAGUUUUUAAGCUUCAGGCCGACUAUUCUAAACCCGGCCUGAAUCUCAGGGAAUAAGCGUUUGAAGUUUUUAAGCUUCAAGCCGACUAUUCUAUACCCGGCCUGAAUCUCGGUGAAUAAGUGUUUGAAGUUUUUAAGCUUCAAGCCGACUAUUCUAUACCCGGCCUAAAUCUCGGGGAAUGAUGUUUGAAGUUUUCUAAGAUAAGCUUCAGGCCGACUAAUCCUUACUCGCCCUAAACCUCGAGGACUAGGAGUAUAGAUACUAGAAUUAGAAGUAAAAAACUUCAAAGGAAUUUUGCAUACCUCGACGGCAUGGCUGGAUUCAAACAAGGCAAUCCUUGCCUGAAACAUCCGAGCCGAUACAGACUCCGGAGUCGCUAUAGGUGCAGGCCCCAUCAGAGGGCUCUGUCGUGCUGUCUGGAGGGUGCUGGAGUUCACCUCAUAGCUGUCGGCGCUGUUCCAGUCCAUUACGAACUGGUCCAGCGACCCCCAGCUGUGCCCGUUGGUCGUCCUGAGGGGAACUCCCUUGGUUGUUUGUGAACUGGAGGAACCUGGAGGCGCUUGCCCAGCCGGGAUAGUGGAGCUCCUGGUUCUCUUAGCUUGCGCAGUCGCUAGUUGAGUAGCUUGCGGCUACGGUGGCGGUGAUGGCGGUGUUAUUGUAGUCUGCGGUCCUUGGGGUCCUUGGGGCUCUGUGGCCGGCUGCUGAGGCGUCUCCGUGACCGGCGGCUCCGUUUGUGUCUCGGUUGCCGCCGACGAAGGAGCAGUCCCGGCUGCGGUCGUCCCGGCUUGUGCGACGCUCGAAGCGUCGAUGCUCGGGCCGACAUCCCGGACGGGGGAUGUCGGAUCCGCAGCAGUCUCGGCCUCUCCCGUGGCCUGAGUUGUGGGCUCAGCACGAGGAGAUGGAGCUGCCGGGAUCUCAGACGCAAUACACGUCUGAGAUUGAGUGGCCGUCAGAGCCUCCCUGCAGGAAUGAAAGUUAUUUAUUUUCAUGAUAGUAAAGAAGAAAACCGACAUCAAGGAUUGGGAUGUUGUGAGCCUUACCCAACGAUCAUGGGUCCGUGCUUUUCAUGGGCUGGCGCUGCAGCCGCAACUGGAUCCGACGCCUCAGCAGCAGCAGCGGGAUCGGCCGAGUCGGCUGUCCCCGAAUUAAUGCAGGUGUGAGCAAUCUAAUGACAAGUGUUAUAAUAGCUAUGAGAGAAUGUCGGAGUGAUUACCUUCGGUACGACGAGGGCCGGCAUGAGCAAUCGGCAUGUGAUCCUCCGAGUCAGGAUCUUCAUGAUCGAUGGUCACGCGUUGGCUCCCAAAGCGCUUGUCCAGGGAUUUCCCGUCCUCGCUGCACUGAAGGGUGAACUUCUGCAUAAAAGAAUCAAGUUGUGCCGAGAUAAGUCUUUGUCAAAGGAAAGCCGACAUAGCCGUAUGCCGGAUGAGAACAAAAGACAUGAAUAAACAAAAACUCACCGGGGGCGGACGGUGCUUCCGGCUGUAUGCCGGCAUACCUCAUUCCCAGCGCUCCGGCAUACUCAUCUUCGCGAUCGCCUUGACCCGGCGCCGGACUUCAGCCUAGUCUAGCCGGACGGUGGACACCCGGUUCGGGUCAAACUGACCACCGUAGAAGCACAUCUUGUGCGUCCGGUGUUGGAGCGGGCAUAACCGCUGGUAUACGAAGGUGGCCAGCAAGUCAUCGGCCGUCAUCCCUUCUUCCUUGAGUUCAAGGAUGCCGGCGUGGGUCUCGUUGAUCUCCGGAAGGCUGUCCUUUGGGUCGUACUUCCAGUUCUUUUUCUCCUCCGGAGGGCCGACUAUGAAUCUCGGCAGAUUAAUCUUGUCGGUGUCGGAGGAGUUCUUGACAUAGAAGAAGGUCUUGAGCCACUUUUUGCAGGACUCAAAACCCUGGAUCCUAGGAAAGGCCGAACCCCGGCGGGGUAUGACGGUGGCGGCGCCGGGAUUCUCUUUAUCGGGAAGAACUUGGGGCCGGAACAUAAAACAUUUGGCCCACAAGUCGACGGAAGGCCAGAGGCCGAGAUAGGCCUCACAGCAGGUGACAAACGCCGAGAGAGUGAGGAUGGCGUUUGCCGGAUGGUGGUGUGGCAGAAGGCCGAAAAAGUCUAAAAAUUUCCUAGUGAAAUCACUAGCCGACAAAGCAAAGCCGCGCUCAAAGUGAGCGAGGAAAACAACGUGCUCACCAGAUUCGGGUGCCGGCACAAUCUCGUCGCCGGGAAUCCGGCACUCCACGUCUUCUGGAAUCCGCCGGGAGCGGCGGAGCCACUCGAUGUCCGCCGGGGAGACAUCGGAGCCUUCCCAGCCAGCUCGCUCCGAGCCCGUCUCCUCCUCGGUGUGCUGAGCAGCGGGGUCGAUGACGGCGGCGUCACGGGAAGAAGCCAUUGCUCGAAAAGUAGAUCUAGGGUUAGGACUUCUGGCGAGAAGGCGGUGGCGCAAGGCUCAAGCGGGCAAGGAAACGACGGUGUAGAACUAAGCGAGCACGCGCGAGUAUGCGGUGGCGAGCUCGGUCGCUGGGAGCUAAGAGGCGCGACAGCGGAAGAGCUUGGAGCAGCAACAAUGGCAGAGUGCGCAAGGAGCAGAGGAGCAGAGGAGCGCGAGAAGGUCCGGGGAGUGCGAAGGGUUUUCACCCUCGCCCCCUCCCUCUAUUUAUACCAGCAGGACACUAAUGGGGCGCAGAUCUUCCGCACCCACGAUCCUUGUGGCCGACGAAAGGGCUGCGCACAAUCAUGGCGGCAAUCAAUCCAAUUAACGCGCGGAGAGUCGCAGUAAAUCCCGUCGAAUCUGGGAGGAUAAGGAUCCGCGUGGGAACCGAUAUUCCUCCCUUAAUGGCUUGUCAGUUUUACUGUCCGAUGUGAUGACGCGCUGCCUUAAAAGACGCGCCGGCAUCACUUCGGGUCUUAUCUUCCCGUUAUUUAAGUAGAACGUGGAGUAUAAGCGACAGGUGGCACCAAUGUCGGCAGAAGCAAGUUUUCUACUGCCGUCCACGGAGGAGAAAGGAAUCUCGGUUCAAACCUGAGUGAGCACGCUGGCCCGGUAUGUCGGAUUGACUUGAUCUCGGCUAAGAAGAACUCGGGGUUGUCUCGGCAUCCUUUUCGGCUAGGCCCUGGUGAGCUUCGAUGGUUUGUGUGUGGGAAACUGUCGUGGCCUGACAUUCUCCUCUGUCGGACCACAACAGCUUCGGGGAUUAGUGUCGGGGGGAUGACCCUGAGUAGGGUCUUGACGACACACAUUAGCCGAGAUGACGAAGGCAAGGCCGGCAUAGGCAUAUACGCCGGCAUCCUUAAGCCAAACUAAUACUAAGCCGGGAUACUAGGUGUAUGCCGGCACGUUUAUCUUGUCUUACGUGUUUGCAGGAUAAGGACGAGUACACUGAUCUCGGCCCCCGCCAAGAUGGAUCAACGGUCUUAUCCUUAUCUCAUGGCGCAAAGUAAAGCAGCGUUCUCUUUAUCACGGGAAAGCAGUCGCUGCUUACAUCGCGGUGCCAGGCGACUGCGCAGAGAAGCACCGAAAGAGAAUCUGUGACGGAAGCCGGCAGCUAGCAGCAGUACUUGUUGCAGGGCGCCAGAAAACUAAAUUUGUCUUGUCCCCUGCGGUGCCACCUGGAGGGAACCAAAGCGCGUGCCUAGCGGGGCCCAAAGAAGAUAACGUUACCCCUUAACCCACAUGUCAGUGGGACAUGAGCGGUCCAUAAAUAGAGCACCGCCCCUCUCCGGAGAGGGGGCGAUGAUUUAGACAUCUAGGGUUUUUCCUUUCUUCUUCUUCCUCAAGAAUACAGCUCAGGGAGCACCAUUGUAGAUCUCGAUAUCUCGGCUAAUACAGCAAAGCAGGAGUAGGAGUGUUACCUCGGCAAGAGGACUCCGAAUCUAGGUAAAUCUGUCUGUGCUUGAGUGCUUGUGCGUGUUUCUCUUCACGUCCUCCCUCCUCCGGAUCCUCCUUCGUCCAUCGGCCCCAACAUAAGCCAUCCUAUGACAUCUGCCGUGACACCACCACGACAGCCGGUCCAGCCCGGUGGAGCUUCGAACUGUCCCUGGCAUGUUGCAGGCAUUUUGGGCCCGGCUCGGCCCCUUUGUAACCAGGCCUGAGGGGCCAUGCUAUGCCUGUUUAAAUAGGCCUGGGGUCUUCAAUGUUGCUUCCAGACCAGUUACGAGCUGAUAGUCUCCACCAGUUAUUUGGUUUUGUUAUACUUUCUCCGUUACAUAAAGAUUCGGUUUUGAAUUAGUUCUAGUUUAAAACCGUGCCAAUAUUUAUGAAACGGAGGGAGUAGCUAGGAGUUCGCUCAAAAAAAAUUGUUAUAGCUAGGAGUAUCCAGUUCAGUACCAGAAAGCAAGCGCUGCGACUUGGCAUGCCUCUGGAUAUUUGCCAUGACUGUAAUGAAAAUGAGUAACCUCUCCUUUUUUAGUAAUGAUAUUCAGGUGGGGAUUUUCAUCCCCCCUCUCCCAUGAUCUCUAAGAAAAACUUGUUGCGGACUGCUACAUGUUUUGGCACAGUUGAUGGUAUCCUAUAAAUGUUUUGGCAUGCUACAAACAUAGUACUGUACUACUACUUUCGAUCCUAAAUGUUUGUCGUUGUUUUAGUGCAAAUAUGAAUUAAAACAACGACUUUACAAUUCAUUGUCCAUAAAACAUUACAAUUAGACAUCACAUCACAUAAAAAAAAAAGUAGAUCUGGAAGAGAAACAUUUACAGAAACUCAGGAUCUCGUCAAUGGGACAUCUAAUUUAACAAUUUGUUUACUCCACUUGCGAUCCAACGAAUUAAGAGUUACAUUCUUGCGUGUCAAACAAAGCUACUCCCUUCUUUUCUUUCGCAAGGCUAUACUUUAUUCAAAUGCACAACUGAUCUGCCGAUGCAACGAAAAUAAAGACACGGUUAUGCAGCUGUAUUCAAUCACACGAUAUGUGUGGCCUGGCCAGACUUCUUGCGCCUUAUAUUUAGAAAAUCAGAAGAAAUUUUUAUGCGACUAACAAAAAGAAACGGAGGGAGGCUGGUGUAGAAGGGUGUCAAAUGCUUGACAGAGCGCUUCGAUAAAUCAACAGAAGUAUCGUACAGUAUCGGUCUUCAGGCUACCAGAUGCAAACGACAAAUAUCAAAAUGGCAAACAGGAUUAGUUGAUGUUGUGAAUUCCUGGUCAUUCCUUCCCAAACUAUCUUUCCUCGUAGAGAAACAACAACCUGCAACAAAAGUGCCUCAACUUAACAAUUAGCAAACAGAAAAUUCGAAACCACAGGAUGAAUAAAACAAUUAUCGCGUUUAUGUAUCAACAGCUUUUCUUAUUGUGCUAUGCUGAUGAACGACCACGUAAAAUGCUUUUUUUUGAAUCCCGGCUUACCGAGAGCAUCUUUCCCAGUCAGAUGCAUGGAACGUAUAAAAGCACCUGGCAGAAGAACGGAAAUUGAUUAUACGCUUGAGAUUGGGCGGAGCUGGGCCCCGGGCAACUUGGGCCAUGGCCUGGGGCCUGACAAAUUUUGUAGCCUGCAAUGUCAGCCCACUGAACCACAGCGAGACCUGGCAUCGGCAACCCGGCCUGACGAGUCGGCGCGAGCCCGGCCCAAUAAACCGGCCCGCGCCGAGCUCGUGCCUCAGUUUCCAGCCCGGUUCAGUUUCCGGGCCGGGCUCUGGCUUUAAAUUUCGUCCCUGAAAAACCUGGCUCGGCCUGGUAACACAUAGCCCAGGAAAACCAGAGGAAAGGCCCGUUAGGUAGCCCAGCAAGACGCCAUAUAAGUGAGACAGAAACCUUCAACUGGGCCCAAAAAAGGCAUCGAUCUAUCUCGAUAUCCGGCGCCGCCCUGCGAUCGAUCGAGACGUGCGUGCAGCCCAGCAAGACUCCAGGAGAUGUCCGGCGCCGCCCUGCUCGAUCUAUCGCAUACCCUGCUCGCCGGCCCACCAACUCCAAAACGCCAUCUCAAACGCAGCUGACUGCAUUCCUCUCUGAGCUCUAAUCUUUUACCAUUCUUAUUUGAAUCUGGGAACAGAAGUGACAUGCAGUUUUUUUGUUUCACUUUGAUGCUAUAUUGCUCUGGAACCGCACUUGAAUAGAUAUUUCCCAUCACUAUCUGACCCCAAUCAAAUACUACCAAUCAACAUUGAUAAUUGAUAUAGAAUCGUUGUUGAUUGACUAUCGUGUGCAGAGAACAUAUAUAUGAGUUACUGAAUAACUGCUGAGGGAAACCGAGUGGAGAUCGUGGGAAAGAAUACAAAGCUAAUACAUAGUACAAAGUAUAACAAUAGUAUUCUGGCUAACACCCCCCCGCAGUGUCAGCGAUGGGAUCACCAACAUUGAGACUGGAAUGUAUGUCAUGAAAGCUUGCCGUUGGUAAUCCCUUGGUGAAAAUGUCUCCAAAUUGAGCACUGGUUGGAACGUGAAGCACACGAACAUGACCAAGAGCUACCUUCUCACGAACGAAGUGAAUAUCAAUCUCAAUGUGCUUUGUACGCCUGUGCUGAACUAGAUUGCCGGACAUAUAAACGGCAGAGAUGUUGUCACAGUGUACCGGAGUGGCUUGAGCAAUGGGGCGAUGAAGUUCAGUCAGCAAUUGACGCAGCCACACUGUUUCAGCGACUGCAUGAGCUACAGACUUGUAUUCAGCUUAAGCAAAAGAUCUGGACACUGUUAAUUGACGCUUGGAUGACCACGAAACAAGAAUUUUGCCCAGGAAUACACAGUAACCGGAAGUAGAUCGUCGAGUAUCUGGGCAACCGGCCCAGUCUGCAUCACUAUAUGCUGUCAAGGAAGUUGGUGGGGAGCUGUUUAUGUGGAAACCGAAAUCUAGAGUACCUUUAAGGUAGCGUAAGAUACGUUUGACAUGGUUUAGGUGGGGUAGACGAGGAUCAUGCAUGGACAGGCAAGCCUGUUGGACAGAAUAUGAAAGUUCAGGUCUGGUGAUGGUUACGUACUGGAGGGCGCCGGUGAUGCUGCGAUAGAAUGUGGCAUCAGGGACAGAAUCCCAUCGAAGGAAAGCUUUUGUCCUAAACCAGCUGGAGUUCGAGUAGGAUGACAGUCUAACAUGCCAGCUUUGGAUAGGAUGUCUAAUGUGUAUUGGCGUUGGGAAAGAAAAAGACCUGAAGAUGACCGAGUGACAGAGAUGCCAAGGAAGUGAUGUAAAUCACCAAGGUCAGUCAUGGAAAAUUCUUGAGAUAAGCUAUUGAUUAUGUGCUGUAAGAAGGAAUCAGAGGAGGCAGUGAGAAUAAUAUCAUCAACAUAAAGUAGAAGAUAGGCAGUGUGAGAGUUGGUAUGAAAAAUAAAUAGGGAGCAGUCUGACUGAGAGGGCACGAAGCCUAUGGUUUUGAUGAAGCUAGCAAAGCGCUGGAACCAUGCGCGAGGCGCUUGUUUGAGGCCAUACAAGGAUUUCUGGCAGGCAAACGUGAUCAGGAUGAGCGGGAUCUUCGAAACCUUUUGGUUGUUGACAGUACACAGUCUCUAGGAGGGAACCAUGUAGAAAAGCGUUCUUGACGUCGAGUUGGUGAAUGGGCCAUGCUGCGGAUGUGGCAAUGCUAAGGACAACUCGAAUUGUACUGGGUUUGACAACAGGAGAAAAAGUUUCGUCAAAGUCCACGCCUGGUUGUUGGGAGAAGCCGCGGUAGACCCAACGAGCUUUGUACCUCGACAGAGUGCCAUCGGCAUGAAAUUUGUGGCGAUAAACCCAUUUUCCAGAGACUAUUUUGGCUUGCGGAGGACGAGGAACAAGAGUCCAAGUGUUGUUUUGGAGAAGAGCAGAGUGUUCGUCUCGCAUUGCUUGCAGCCAGUAAGAAUCUAGCAGAGCAGCUUUGUAGGUUUUAGGAAUGGGAGAAAUGGUGGCGGAAGCGUGAAGGUUCAGACGGCGAACAGGUAAGCCAAAACCUGCUUUGCUGCGAGUCCGCAUGGUAUGGUCAUUUGCCGGAAUUGCUACAUGGAUUGCUAUUUUCGGAAGUGGGCGAGGAGCGGGUGAAGAGCUGGUUGCAGAGGAGUUUGGUUUGAUGGAAUUAGGAGAAUGUGGAGUUUGUGGAGAGGAAUGCGGACACGUGGUUGGGGUGGAAGGGGUGCUGUUGACUGGCGUGGUUGUGGAGCUGGAUGCUGGAGUGGUGGGACCCGGGGUUGGUUCACGAGGUGAAGAGGGAGGACAUGGGGCAGUGCAGGAAGGAGCUGGCGCAUCGGACGAGGCUACAGGACCAUGCACAUGCAGAGGGAGAUAUAGGCUAUUUGGGCUACGUGUUUCUAUUUCAGGAUUUGAGGUUUGGGUUGAGGGAUUAAAAAGAGCAAAUGGGAAAAUAGUUUCAUCGAAAGUAAACAUGACGGGAGAUAAGAACUCGACCUGAGAAUUGGUCAUUGCAGCGAUAGCCUUUGUGAUCAUCAGAUAGACCGAGAAAAAUGCAAGGAGUUGACCGAGGAGAAAGCUUGUUGUGGGACGUGGCUGCUGUAUUGGGAAAGCAUAAACAUCCAAAAAUUCAAAGUUCAGUGUAAUUCGGGGAUGUAGAGAAAAGGGAGUGGAAAGGAGUAUGAGAGGGACAUGUUUUGGUGGGUCGAAUGUUGAGGAGGUAAAUGGCAUGACGGAGGGCUUCGACCCAAAAUUUAGGUGGCAUGUAGGCUUGUAUGAGCAGUGUCCGAAGGAUAUCAUUGAUGGUUCGCAAGGAGCGUUCUGCUUUGCCAUUUUAUGGAGAGGUAUAUGGACAAGAAAAGCGAAGGAGAAUGCCAUGUCGAAGAAAUAAAGCUGGGUUGAUGGAGUUGUCAAAUUCUUUGCCAUUGUCACAUUGGAUGAAGCGAAUGGGAAGAGAGAAGUGAGUGGAGACAUAACGUUGGAAGUUGGCAAAUAAAAAGGGAACAUUAGAUUUGUUACGGAGAGGAAAAGUCCAGAUGAAAUGCGAGUAGUCAUCAAGAACCACUAGAUAAUAUUUGAAACCAGAUACACUGAUGGUAGGGGAGGUCCAAACAUCACAAUGUAAUAAAGCAAAAGGUUCAGUACUACGAGUAACAGAAUUACUGAAAGGAAGGCGAACAUGCUUUCCUAUUUGCCACACAAACUAGAACAUGCUUUCCUGUUUGACAAGCUCCCUAUUACAUGGAAUCUGAAAAUCCUGAAGUAAAGAAGAUAGGAUGGCUUGGUUUGGAUGUCCUAGCCGCCGAUGCCAUGUGUUGACGGAGGCAAGAUAGGCUGAGGGAGUUGUGGCUGUUGGUGCAGAAGACAACGUGUAGAGACUGCUAGAGCUAUUGAAUCUGGCGAUCUCCUUCUUGGUUUGAAGAUCCUUCACAGACAAACCGAAAGGGUCAAAUUCUAGAGAGACAAGGUUAUUAAUGGUGAAUUUGCGAACAGAAAUGAGGUUUUUGAUAAGAGCAAGAGCAACAAGAACUUCUCGAAGAGAUAAAUCAUUACGAGAGGAAGGCAGAAAAGCAUUGCCGACAUAGGAAACAGGAAUAGAGGAGCCAUCGUCAAUAGUUAUAGAUGAAAAUAUAGAAGGUGGAUGACAAGAUGACAACAUAUGUGAAGUAGCAUACAUGUGCGAAGCGCCAAAAUCGAAAAUCCAAUCCGUACCUUCUCCCUGAGCGGCGAAAUUGUUCAUGGCAGCAAUGAAGGCGGCUUGAUCCCAAUUUGGUGCAUGAGUGGACGUGGAAGUAGUCGUGGACGCUCCUGGUGCGGCUGUAGCUUGGUACAGUGGAACUGUGGUAGUUGCGGGCACGCCUGGUGGUGUUGCAGCCUGCUGGUACUGGUACGGCGGAGGCUGCAUCUGGUACGGUGACUGGUACGGGGCGCCGUUGGUGUAGGAGUGAAAUGCAUUCGCCGUUGGCCUUGAGCCAAGUAGACCGGGAGAGCCAGUGUGUGGGCGCGGAGCCGUAGUCCAAGCAGGUGGUGGUGCCGAUGUCCAUGCCGGAGGCGGGGCAGAAUUCCAAGGCAUUGGCCAUGCCUGCACAAGACCAGUCCACGGAUCCUGGGUGGGGGCGCGCCAAGCAGGUGGAGAAGGUGCAGAAGUUCCCGUAGGAGGUUGUUGCCGCAGACUUCGGUGGCCGGUAUACUGGAUUCUUCCCUUUAUAGUUGGGGCUUGGCCGCCAUCCAGGUGGCGGUUGCAUGGCCGGAGGAGGGGGAGCUGCAUGAGGUGGCAGUGCCGGCGGCGUCGCAGAGCUGGUGUUGGCGUGGAAAACUUGAGGACGAGCAAUCUUCCUUGCCUGUGUCAUCUCCUCCGUCUGAAGGAUGCUGCGAACUUCGGAGAAGGUUGGUGGCGGUUUCAGCAGCGGGAUGAAUGCAGACUGCUUGUCGAAGCGAUCGCUGAGCCCAACCAACAAAGCAUUGAUCAGCGAGCAGUUGUCCAUUUGGUCACCAAGCUCGCGGAGUUCAUCGCCGAUGGCCUUGACGCGCUGACAGUAGACGCUGACCGGCAUGUCACCCUGAGAGAUGGAGCGGAGCUCGCCAUGAAGAGCAUUGAUGCGCGCGUCACUGUUGUCCUGGAACAGGCGGCGCAGAUCGACCCAGAUGUCGUGAGCGGUUGUACCAUCACGAGCGACGAGAGCUCCGUGCUGAUUCGCGUGUAGAUCCACUGAAUAACCGCCAGAUCGUCUUUCACCCAGCGAGGAUCUUGAGGCCGGGCGACAUGGCCGUCGUCGAUGUGGUUGCGAAGGGCGCAUCGUCCGAGAUGAACAUGGAACAAGUGACGCCAAUGAUAGUAGUUGUGAUUGGCUAGAUCUAAGACGACAGUGAUAUAAGGGCUCACAUCGGCUAUGGUGUCGCUAAAGGAAGGAGGAGAGAAAAGGGGAGUUGAUUGGGAAGAAGAGGAAGUAUUGCCGGAGCCGGGAUUGGUGCCGGAAUUGGGGCCGAAAUUGGGCGGCGGCGGCGGAUUUGGUGGUGCCAUGGAAGGAAACCUAGGCGACUGAUACCAUGAUAAUUGAUACAGAAUCGUUGUUGAUUGACUGAUCGUGUGCAGAGUACAUAUAUAUGAGUUACCGAAUAACUGCUGAGGGAAACCGAGUGGAGAUCGUGGGAAGGAAAUACAAAGCUAAUACAGAGUACAAAGUAUAACAAUAGUAUUCUGGCUAACAAACAUCAACUCCAGAAAUAACUCCACAGCCGGUGGAUUGAUUACUCAUAUGUAGAGCCCUUCCUAAUACUCCGUUUAGCCUAUGUAUUUUUCUGCAGAAAUCUAAUACGCGCUCCAACCCAUACUACUUGUUGUUGAUUUAGUACAACUUUGUACUAAAUCUGCGACGGGUAAUAUGGGUGGGUCGGAUGAGUAUUUUACUCCUUCUGAUCCAUAAUAAGUGUCGGAUCGAAGAGAGUAUUCUUUUACUAAUGUGAAAAGUCCGUAAUGCCCUUCCCCGAUACUCUAUUUAGCAUAUGAGUGGACUACCAUAAAAAUUUCUCAUCCUAUCGUCUAUAAAAGGGGCAAUUAAAAAAUAUUGAUUCACCAACAAAUGAGUACACAGCACACAGACACACACAAGGACACAUGGUGAUUUUUCUUCUUCUUUCAAGAAUGGCAGGCCAGUCGACCAGAGUGUACUGGAACAUGUCAAGGAGACCGUAGAAUGUUUACCUUUCGUUCAUAUCCAAGUAUUCGUGAUACCUGCCCAAAAUAAGGAUCAAACGUCAGGCCUGCCAACAAAGAUGUGUGGUGGCUGAGAGCAGAGCACGGUCGCCAAAAAUUACACUCCUCUGUUUUCAACAGUGUCUUUUUGUCAACCGGAAUAAAAUGAAUUCGGUCCUUCUUCGACUUUUGACAAGUCGUAGGAAAACAAAUCAAGGACCAGAGUUAAUGCAGCGACCAGGAGACGUGUAUACUCGACUAUAACCUGUACUCGAAAUACGAGCCAGCCGGAGCGAGCUUGUAGGCCUCUCUCUCAAUGCAUCGUCUUUUAGGUGUUGUUUUUUAGUCCACAAUAAAUGGCCAAUACAUUUUGUCUUAUUUUUGACAACUGGAAUAAAAUGGUUUUUUCGGUUUUUUGUAGACUUUGACAAGUCGUAGGAAAGGAAAUCAAGGCUCAGAGCAGGGACGGAGACAAGGGGGGGCGUCGGGCGGCGGGGUCCCCCCUCCCCCCCCCCCACACACACACACACCCACCCACCAAAAAAACUUUGAUUUUACUUAAUGCUCCGUCCAUCCAAAAAAAAUGUACGUUUGGGGCUUUUAAAAAAAUAAAAAAUGCGUUGGAAAGAUGCCAACGACCAUCACUCUGCUCUUUAAUUCUCCUAACUCCAAUGAGUUAAGUGCAUGAAAAAAUGUUAUUGGGUUAGAUUUACAUGUAAUGAGAGAAAAUAAAUUUUUCAUAGUCUAAAGUGUUUUGCACAAAGAGAAAUACACUCUUUUGUGGACAAAUUUUAAACCCAAGCGUACACUGCUUUGUGGACGGAGGGAGUAGCUAGGUACUUACUCAACUCAUAAAAAUCCCUUAUAAAUAGUUCAGCUCUCUAACUUUGCCCCCCUAAACCUAGAUCGCUCCCCUCAUGUUGCAUUCUUGGCUCCGUCCCUGGCCGAGAGUUAAUGCAGCAACCAGGAGAUGUGUAUACUCCAGUAUAACCUACACUCGAAAUACGAGCCUGUCGCUUAAAUCUGCUGCGCCAAAAGGCCCCCGUGCCGCCCCCCCCCCCCACCCCAUCUCAAGCCCUUUCCCUCGCCGUCGUCGGUGGCCGUCGUCGGUCAAAGCCCGCGCGGAGCAGGUGGUGAUGGGUUCUGUAUUUCGUUUGGCGGCGGCUGUCAUCAGUGCUUCGCGAGUAGGGGAACUCAUGGAAGCGGUAGUUGGUGGCUUGGCGGCGCUUGGAGAGGACGAGCAGCGGCUGGCGCAACUCGAAUCUGGCUGGGUGCAUGUGGACUCGCCGGCGGGGCAGCGUGUGGUUGCCUGGGCAGUGACCCCUGUGGGGAGGCGGUGGCCCGCUGUUGUUUUCGGAGCGGGAUCGCCGGAUCCGUGGAGGGUGGCACUAGGUCCGUGGAGUGCGGCGCUGGAUCCGGUGCGAAUCGAGCUUCUCAGGCUGUGGAGAGCUGGGGGCUGCCUGUGGUUGGUCGCUGGCUUCAUCGAUGGAGGUGCCAGAUCCGGAGCGGUUGGCGCAAUAUAUGGUGCACGGGGCGGUUGCAGCGCCCUGGCCGGUGAUGGUUGGGCUGUGUGGCGUGCGGCAAGUUUUGUCGACGCCCGCGGUGGUGUGGUGGCCUCUGGUCUGGCUUCGGCCCUGUGUGUCGCCAUGAGGCCGUUUGCUCUUGUCCCUGGUGGCUGCGGGUGAAAACCCAGCACCGAUUUUGUUGGUGCCGGCGAUGACGGUGUCCUCAGACGUCGCUCUCUACUGGAAGGCGUCGUCGUGCAGCGUGCUACAUCCCAUCCUUUGCAGACGAGGUUCCUUCGAGCAAAUGCUCAAAUUCAGUUUUCGGAUCGGGUAACAACAGCGUCUUGGGACGUCGUGUCCUCCAUGUAGGCGUUGCCUUUGGAUCCCUCGUCUGACGGCGAAGGUUUCUUCUAGCGGUGAGACCGGCCGAGGUCUUGGAUGGCGGCUUCCAGUAGUGCGGGCCAGCCGAUGCACGAGCCGUUCCUGUCGAUGCAAGCUCUUCUGGCUCUGGCCGUCGAAGAAGCCCAGUUCUGUCUAUUUUCUUCUGCCGCAAGGAGCUGUUACCUGUUCGGCAUCGUUGGAGUGGAAAGGGUUUCGUCUUUGCGGUAGGGGCUUGUUUACUUAGUUUUGUUCUGUGUAUGCUCUUUGUCAGGGUUUUUCGUACGGUUUUGAUUUGAUAAGCCGUGCAAUAUUGUAUCGGUUUUCAUGCACGGUUCCAUUUAUAAACAUGGUUAUUUUUUUUUAAUUGAAUCGCGGGAUCGACCAUUUCGUCCUAACAAAGGUGCGAGCCAGUAGAAGGAGACGGAAAGAAAAGAGAAUCCAAGACGGAGGUGUGUGCCAGUAUUUGCGUGUUCGAUCGAUCACCUGCGCCAUGUGGACUUUGUGCCUAGGCCAGCCCCGUUGUAGUAGACCAUUCGGCGCCAUAUCGAGAAAGAGCUGGUACGUGCUCUGUCUGUCUGUGUGUGCGAAGAAGGUGGAAGAAAAGUGAAUCUUAUCUUGAGCGUUCCCGAUGCAGGCGCAGCCGUUGAGACCCGGAAUAAUGCCGUCGUUUAUCUCUCGACGUCCCCGCCACGACGCCCCCGGCCGGAUCGACGUUGGCCACACGGGUGGAUAUUGCCCCAAUUAAUUGGUCCAUUUUGACGGCGUGGGAGGUGAAUAAAGGACUCAAUCCGUUCAAUCCGUUAUAUAAUAACGGGCCGCAGCCUCAGUCCCGCUCACCGAUCGCGACAAAGCAAAAACAGAAGCUAGGCAACAUAAUCAGCAGCGAACAGUCCUUCUCGCCCAAGCUGGCAAUCUCCCAGCAUCAUGUCAUGUGUAGCAUCGAUAUCAAAUCAUCCAAACAAAUUCUUGCGUUUGUCAUGUCAUCACGGAACACUAGCUACGUCGGAGAAGAACAAAUUGUUUAAUGUGAAAAUCGUGAUGGACCAGCCUCAAGGUCUCUAUCGUUUCAUGCUACCGUUCGUUGAACCGUGCAACUAGAAUCUAGCAGAGCUAGGUAGGAAAAGAACAUUUCCGCAGUCAUUCAUCUGCGUGUCCGGUUACUCGCGGAAACGUAAUAUCGAGUAGUGGCCAGGAACCGCUUUCCAAGUCCUGCCGGCCGAUGGAGUAGUCGACAAAAGUCUGCCCCACGAGGUCAGAAUUCAAAUUCGAUCUGGACGUACACCGCGUAGAUCAAAAUAGCCACUGUCACUAGCAAAUCGGAUGCUUUGGCCCCAGGCUAUAGUACUGUAGCUAGCUAGCCACGACUAGUAGUACGGAGUACAAGAUUGUGAUCCUGACACAUGCGCUAGUCACUUGGCCCAUAUAUACGCUUGUUGGCGUGUAGUAAUGCCACGAAAGGGAAGAUUACAAAGGUGCAUAUUCCUUUAAAAAAAAGAGUGAAGAUAAGGUCCGGUGGCACGUAAAAAUUAUAGAAAAGGUCAGAAUAAAAGUUAUGGAAGUCGACAUAAAAAUAUGAAGAUCAUAUGCUGAAAUCGCAAAGUUCUGCAUGAUCCCUGCCUCCGCCCUUGAUAAGAUGGUCACAAACGUAUAGUUCCAUGCGGACUGCUCGAUCCAUCCAGUCGAAUUAUACUUUCUCGUUACAUUGGCAAUAUUAGCCCCAUGAGUCAAUUAUGCUAUACGCUAGACGCGUGACUCAAUGGGUUUCUUCCAUGUAUAUAGCUCUAAAAGCCUAAAAGUUUGUACCCUACGCUAACAUGCGCGAGAGAGUUCUCCUCUCUCAUUAUCUAAAUGAUUGGCACCGUAUAUAUAUGUCCGGUAGCUGGCUUCACGCACGCGGAAAAGACGACGAAGCUUUGGGAUCAAAUCCAAUCCAAUCAUUCAACACCACUUCCAUGUGUGUUGACGCAGCUCAUCAGAACAAACAUGCAGAGACCGAUUGAGACCUUUUAGGGUGAUUAAUUAAAAGGAAGACAAAAAUAGAAGUAGCACACAACAACAUCCUAAUCGUACGCUAAAUUUAAAGACAUCAUUGGGUUAACUACACUCACCACGUCUCUUUCCUUCCUUGAGGCAUUGUUAAGGUACGCCCACACCACCCCGCUUUAGGUUCUCGGAUGAAAAUCAAAAGUCCUCGGACUGGCGAUGGCGGCGCGGGGGGACUCUAGAUCUGCAGGGAGGGGAUCUUGGUCUGCGGCUUUCUCAAGCUUGGCAAUUUCAAUGUAUCGUUGAAGAUGGGUUGGUGGAAGACGGUGGUGGUUGUUUCUGGAGCGUGCGCAUACACAUGCUAAGAAUUAGCUUACCGGUUGUGCUUUCGUGGCCUCCGGAUUUUGAUGGUGGACGAUGGUGUGCGGUCAGGACAUACGGCCACGUUCAUCUUGCAGGCUCGUAGGUAUAGCUCAGUGACUUUGGAUUGUUCGAUUGAUAUAGUUGUUUUGCCAUGCUUGUAAAAUAAAUUAAUAAAAAUGGCUAUGUGCAUCAUUUUGAUGCAAAGGACGGGGGUUUCAACCUACUUUUUGAAAAAACACUCACCUGCAUUUUCUUGUACGAUUACUAGGAAGCGGGUGUAUUGGGAAACCGGAAAAAAUCAAUCUUCAUACUCACUGUACCUUGCGAGCUAAGGCCUCUUUGAUUCGCAGGAUAGGAAAAAUACAGGAAUAGAAAAACCCUAGGAUUGCAAUGUCAUGGCCAUUCAAAACCUACAGCGAUUGUGGUUAGACCAAUGUUUGUUUGAUUGAGCACAGGAAAAACAAAGGAAUUUGAAAAGGAGGUUGGAGUGGAUGGAAAAAUUCCUAUGAAAUGUAGUGCAAUGAAAUCCUUAGGAAAAUUUCCCGUGGGAUUCAAUCCUACAAAUCAAACAACUCAUAUAGGAAAAAAUCCUAAGGAUUCUAAUCCUCCAAAAUCCCUAUGAAAUUCCUUUGAAUCAAAAGAGCCCUAAAAAAAUAAAGGGAAGAGUUAAACCAGCUAGUAUAUACUAUUGUUGGACCUGGGACACCUCAAGCCAUUGGAGCUCAGGGAGCUUCCCUCACCUUGGUUUCCAUCAGCAGCAAACAGUUGUCCAGCAGUUGCAAGUUCUUUUGCGGACAUAAGAUUCGCCAACGUCUUAAUAGGCGAAGCAGCCUGUACCAAAUAACCUGAAGACCAGACCAAGAGACACGACCAAAAUGAAGAUUGUUACGAAAUUUACAAAACGUCCACAUAAGUGCGGAAGAAAUCAUAUUAGUCACAACAUGUUUAGCAUUACUAAGCCAUUUUUCAGCUACAUCUUCAUAACAGGAAAAAUCGUUCAGAUUAAGCAUAGAUGACAAUUCAGCCCAAAACAGUUUCACAAUAUUGCAGGAGAAGAACAAAUGAUCAGUAGAUUCCUCUUCACAACGCAUUAAGGAUGAUACAUCAUCUAGGUGCUGCCUUUUUUUCAUCUUAUCUCAAGUGAGCAAUCUAUUGUGGGAUAGCAGCCACAAGAAGAAGUGGACUCUGGGUGUGACAUGGAUUUUUCACAAGGCAGGGAUAUAAAUGGGAGUAAUCCCCAUAUAGUUAACAACAACAUACAGAGACUGCACAUUAUAAGACUUUUGGUCUUUAUUGUAUCUAUACCAGGAUUUUGGUUUCUAGGCGGUAUCAUCACGCAAUAACCGCAUUUCCCCUCCUCCUUUUCUUUGGGAAAUUGGUUUACAGACAAAAAAAAUUAUACUUCCUCCGUCCAACAAAAGAUGUCUCAAAUUUGUUAAAAUUUGAAUGUAUUUAGACAUGACUUAGUAUAUAGACGUAUUCAAAUUUGGUCAAAGUUGAGACAUCCUUUGUUGGACCGAGAGAGUACUGUAUUUUUUUUAAAAAAAUGAACUUCAUCAACGAAUAAACAUGCGGCCCUCGAAUUUCUCCCAGAGUAGAUUUUUGUAUAACACACGCAGAUUAAUUAGUUAUUAUUGGUAUCCCAAAUCCUCUAGUUUCUGACACGAAUCAGACUGCCACAGCAACGUUCCACCAUGAUCCGAUCGAAGGCACUGUAGCCAGCUAGACGAUAAAGAGCAAAUCUGAUUAAAUAUCUUGUCAGGAAUCCAUUUAUAGAAGCAGCCCUAUUUCCAUUUCCUACCAAGAAAAAAGCUACUCUGCGUAUCUAAAUUAUUGGCGCCCGCCAAGUGUGACGGUUUAUAAACGUACGUUCAGAAUAAAAUACGAGUAGCUAUGAACUGAACUAGUCAACCCAUCAGAAUAUGAUUUCCAGCUUUUCGAUAAAGGGAGUUUUAUUGAACUGAGAAGUCGCAUCAAACAGAUACAUCAAAAUUCGCACCCGGCUUCUACAUAAUAAGAAGCACACAACCAAAAACGGUCUAAAGAAAAAAAAGUGAAUUAUUACAGUAUGACAAUAAACAAAUUAAGGAGCCUGGAGACAUAGAUGACGUUGUCAUUCAUUGUGGGCGAACACCUCCUUGACCGCCCGUUCCAUCUGAAUACAUGCAGCCGUAACCAAUGGCAUGUCCUGCUCUCGUUGAAGCAAAGACCACAACCGGAGCUGUAACCAAUGGCCAAUGCGUACGCUGAUAAAUAACUUGCAACAAUGAAGGAGUUUGUCGUUUAUUAAACACCGUUGUUUAUGCAUAGUCAAAUCGACCAACAAAGAGCAGUCACUCCCACCAAAAUUUAAGCUCUAAACUAACAACCCGCACCGUUCAGCAAAUUCCCAAGUAUAUACACGCUUCGUGGUGGGCGAAGGUCAGAAGCCGCCUAAAUGGUGGGCCAUACGAAACGAGCAAACUGACAUCAUUAGCCCACUGUUCAUGACAAGCCAGCCUUCAAUUAGUCAAUUAGCUUGACGUGAAAUAUUACGUUCAAAUUAACCAAAUGCAUUAUUGGCAGGUGCUUCAGACACGACGCCUUCCGACUAUAGACAAAUGAUACUCUUCUGUCUAGUGUCGAAUCGAUGCACAGUUCAGGAUCUAGGUUGGUAGCCUUGUCUCAUUUCAUUCAUCUGGAUCACUCGGAAGUCGGAAAACGAAAUGUCGAGUACCAACCACUGCACAAAAAGCACCAGUGGAGUGAUCGUGCGUUGCUACGGACUGACAAAUUCAUGUGCGAUGAUUAGCUGCUUAAUAAUAAGCAAAAAAGAUAAUAAUAUGUAAAAAAUAUAAUAAUCAAUUAAGCAUAAAAACAAAUUAAACGAAGUCAUCAUGGGUGACGAAGUUCCUAUUAGACGGCGGAUCGAGCGGAGUUCGGGCUGAUGAUGAAGUUCCAGCGGGUCAGGUGAAGCUCAGAUGUCGUAGAAUUUCUAACUAAAAUUUGCCGUGACGGUAAUGACGUUAAGAUACCCAAACAUAUUUGCUAUUAGCCUACCAUCUUUCAUCACCUGUAUAGUCAACAAUCAAGCAAUAUGGCAACAAAAUUUGAAGAUUAUUUCCUAAUGUAAUAAUUAUGAGCAAUAAUAAACUUUCAGUUAAUGUGACCAAGCUUGCUUCCGGUCUGAGUCAGAGGGGCUAACACACUCCUGACAACACCUAACUUCGGAACCUCUUCCCUUUCUUACCCGUGUUUGAUGAUUGAGCAGAACACACAGUUUUCCAAUAACAACAGCCCUCACAAAUGUUCCAAUAACUAACAGCCUCAUUUUCUUACCCUAAAAUAAACAGCCUCACUUUCCUAAGAGCAAAAUACACAAGUAUCUACUAAUUCUGGACUGGAUCAGAUUGAGAAAACAAAUACUGCACUGGAUAAGCUAGCAAAAUACACAAGUAUCUACUAAAUCGUGUAGUAUAUAUGAGUGUAAUUUCAAGUUCCAAGAGUGCAGUACAUUGUAUACAAUUAUCCAGAAUAAAGAGCAGAUGAUUCAAUCAGAUGAUCCAUAAUUUCAUGAUUUAACUCUACUAAUUUUCUGUUGUACAACUUCAGUCGCCUAUAGACUCGCUUCAAUCAGAAAGAAGAGCAGAUGAAUAAAUUACAGAAGGAAUGCUCUGAAAGUGAAAAGGCACACAACGAUGAGGUACCACUGAUUGGAUGAGGCACCGGCGGUGAGCUACCAGCAAUUAAGAGCGCUACUGCCCACGGUGCUGCUCCUGGCACCUUCUGAUCACUGGUCACCUCGGGCACGAAAGAGAGCGAGCCUGCGACACCCAACACCUGCCGGCCGCCGUACAGGUACGGGGGAGGGAUUUUAAAGUACCUAGAGCACGACGAAACGCGGUCCUGACAUGAGAACAUAGUAAAAAGAAAAAUACCCUUAGCAAGAUGAACCAGAGAUUACAAAUUUACACUUGCUGGAAAAAUUCCGGAGAUCAUGAAAUGAGAACAUAGUAAAUAUUGCUUUUGUGGUGCGUUCUCGGAGUACCUUUCCGAGGGUAUGAGAGUAGAACAUGAGUCUCUUAAUGUCAGCUACCUGCACAGCGAGAUUAUGAGAACAGAAAAUAAUUGGAUGUCUUCAAGUUAACUGUCAAGCAUUGGUUCCCAGAGAAAAGCACUGAGAGGCUACAUAAAUAUAGAGUUGAUUCCACUCAGGGAAUGCCAAUCCAAAUUGGCAUAUAGUUCAUAGCAACUCGCACAACGAUAUAGAAAUUUACAGGUAAAGCAAACUACAGGAAACUGCCACUCUUCUACCAAGCCAUGAAAUUUACUACAUUACAGAACUGGCAGACAUUCUUGAUAGAGAAGUUAUCACCUCAACCAGUGGCUUCUUUCCAUGAAGUAGCAUAUCCACACUCCUCUCAGUCUGCACAAGAGAGACACACCAUAUAUUAGCAUUCAUCGCAGGUUGAGAAAAGAAAAGUACAUUUCAUUUUUCUUGUAAACAAAGGUGAGCAGAUUACAUUCAGGUAAUAUAUCCUGAGUUCUGACAAUAUUCUUAGUUGGUAAAAUAGCAGAGCAACAAUAGGAGAAGCAAAUAAUUUUCAGAUAAUUCCUCAAGGAUGAUAUAUAUAUAACAAAAGGCGAGCUUAGAAAAGAUAAGCAUUAUCGCAAAUGGCAUUACCGCACUAUAUUAGCAAAUUUGGUCCAGCAAAAGAUUCCCCUUUAAAAACUAACACCUCCUCAUCUGUGUGACUUGAAGGUAUUGCAAGUGAUUACUAUAACAGACUACAAGGAUCAGUACAGAUUAGAACGUUUGAAGCAAAACCAUGAGUUGAGAUAGAUAUCAGCAGUAUGAAAAAUUGAUGCCCGUGUAGAUCCCUAUUAAUUUGUACCCUUUCCACAGAAUCCCAGUAACACAUUCAUCGUAAUCUUAAAAUUACAAGAUAUAUCACUGUGCAAACCUGAUACUUCUACACGGUUUCGGCCUAAAAUUUUAGACCUGAACGCCUUGACCAUGUUAACACAAAGCUGAAAAGAUACAUACUUGAUACUUGUCCACAUUGACCAUUUGACAUAUAUAUUCAUACCCGUUGAGUCACCCAAUAGUGUCGCUCCCUCACCUCAAUAAGGAAAGGGAACGUUGGAUAGGUAGUGCACUCCACCACCUAUCUAGAGAUUUCAGAUCUUGUGAAUCAACACCCAUUUGAAGAUAGUACCUAAUUCAUGCAUCAAUUAUGCAUUACAUUGGAAGCUGGUGAAAUAUCUUAUCAGAUCUUGGCCUCAUUUGAAUAAAAUAUAAAAUAAAAAGUUUUAAAAAUAAUUAGUGGAUUACAGAUGGAAAUAGAAGAAAAACCAAGGUGACAGUACCUGAAUCCUGCAAGCAACAUCUCCCUACAAAUUUAAACUGAAUUGAGGAAAGACAGAGUAAGAUUCAGUUGCAAAGCAUUAGACCAUGCUCUUCUAAUGGUUACCUGCAAGUGCAAAGAAUAACUUGAUUAGUGUAUUAGGCCCACAUAAAUUGGACUCAACUAAAAUCUUUUUCCUAGAACUUGAAGAACAUUGAAAAAGAGAUCUAGAACGCUGAAACAGAAAUCUUGACACACAUAAACUAUAUUUUAUUAUUUGUACUUAUAUAUAGUUCUAGGCAAAAAUCCUCUAAUUUAGGCUAAAGCAUUACAUACGAGCAAGUAUUGGUAGCUUAAUGAAGGAUAAGUAUGCGGCAAUGAUUGCAUCAUAUGUUGGCACUACCAGCAUUCCCGAACAAUGCAGAACUAACUAAAAAUAAUUGGACUGUCAAAGCUUAUAACAUUUUUGAACGAUAAUAAAAGAUUAAACAUCAGUGAACACAUCAUAUGCAAGGCCAAAGCUUAAUGAAAGAUAACACUGCAAGUGUUCGUAAAAUGGACACUGAGAUAAUCUUUUGCUUGAAGAAUCAGACAUCAUGGACGUACUGUUCAGAAAAUUUAUUUCAGAUUCAAAAUGGAUCAUCUAAAAGACUUACAUUAUGUGAUCCACAAGUUUCACAGACUGUUGGGAAGCAAGGUAUCAACAAGAAAUUUAGAAUAGUUACUGAAUGUCUGAAUAUAAACAAACUCUAACAAAAAGACAGGCACACAUACCCCAAUUAUCUGUUCACCACAGAGGUUGCGCUUGUCAGUGCCCCAAACGGGCUCGGUGAGAGUUUUGGGAGGGGACCUGAACCCGUAUGUGGUGUUGGGAAUGGCGACGCAAGCGGAGGUGAGCAGCGCGGAGGACGACCAGCCGGAUUCUGAAUCUUCUGGCGGCGGUCGAGACAAACCGAGGUGGAGAUCGCGAUUCGCUGCAUCAGCCAGCAAAGAGGAGAGUGAUCGAGGGGAUGUGUCGGAUGAGGAGGCGUGCUGGGGAAGGAUAUGCAGGUGGCGGUGGCCGGGGGCAAGGUGGCUGCGGGCGGAGGUGAUGGGGAACGGCGAUGAGGUACCGAUUUGGGGUCAAUCCGGGAUAGGCCGGGGAGGAGCUCCGGUGGGGUGGAGGGGUUGUGCAGAACUAUACAUCGUAGGAGGGCUGACGGCAAGAUGGGCGGGUGAGCAGUUGCGGGGGCUUGUUUCUGAUCGGGUGGGUAGGGCAGCGGAGUAGCUACGGAAGCGGCGGCGUGCGACGGCCGCAGAACUCUGAGGCGUGCUGAGUGGGGAGGAGGAGAACUGGGAAGCGGCGGCGGCAGCGGAUGCGGAGGCGCGGGUUCGGAAGAGGAGAACGGGGAUGUGUAUUGGCGGCAGAGGAGGAGGUGUGGCCGCAAAGUAUCGGGAGGGCCGGACGGCGACUUCGUGCUGGAAAGGAUGUUAGAGGGCGGCGGCGGCGAGAUGGGGAACAGCGGCGGCAGCGGCGGAGGCGAGGAAGGGCGGUGGCGGAGGCGGGGAGAAUCCUAUCGGGAGAGAUGCGAGCUAAGGGCAGGUAGCGACGGGGAUCCGGUUUUUUCUCCUUUUCAAUUUUCUCGCGCGUGGUUCGGGGCAGGACGGAUCAACGUACGAGUAACAAAGUGCAAAUUAAGCGGCAGUAAAGAAAUGUGAUACUCGGUCGGUAGUAACGUGUCAUCGACCAAUCGGUGUCCGAUUAGAAAGAAGAAGAUUAUAUCACAAAAUGAGACCUCAAAUUCAGCAUACGGAGUACCUUGCAAGGUAAAAAAGAAAAAGAAAUUGCUUUUAGAGUUAGGCCGCCAUGGAGCCCCAAGAUAUAAAAAAUAUAUUCAAAAACCAUAUUUAGAAGUGUCCAAAAUAUCUGGGGAAAACAAUCUACAUAUACCAGCUACAUAACAUCGUCCAAAUGCAAAUGGAGUGGUUUCGAGUUCCCUAACACUACUUAUACUCUCUCCGUUCAACAAAAUAUGUCUCAAGUUUGUCAAAAUUUGAAUAUAUCUAGACAUGGCUUAGUGUAUAGAUGCAUUCAAAUUUAGUCAAAGUUGAGACAUCCUCUGUUGGACGGAAAAAAUAUAUAGUUUUCUUUACGUCAGAAGACACGUUGAGUUUGAAGUUGGAAUUUCGUGUGAAUCGCAACAUGCAUGCAGUUCCUUGCAAGUCAUUUUUUUAUUAAAAAAAGUUUAAGUUGGCAAUUCAUGGUAUCUUUAUAGUUUGGUUAUUUAUUGUAUUUAACUAUUUAUAUAUACUAACCCUUUGUGCAUGUGUAUUUAUCAGAUUUCAUAUAUAGUGAACUGGUUAUAAGCUAGUUAUAUAGCCUCCAUAGAUGAAUAGUCCACCGGAUCGGACUAAUUUGCAUGCACGAGCGUCAACUAAUUGGACUGCUACUGUCAUUACCCCUGAUUUUAUUUUUCUCCGGUGUCUCGCGGAUUCUUCGAUCAGGACCCCCCACCUCCCCGCGCGCGAGAUAUAUAUGCCACUUAGGCUGAGAGGCAAACACACAAACACCUUGUGUACACGAACAAGCAGCGUGUGCGUGCGUGCUCUGAACUUGUGAUGGCGAUGGCGGGCUCGCCGUCCGCGGCCGGCAGUUGUCACCUGCCGGCCUUGCUCCUGUUCCUUGCCGCCGUGCCGUGGGGCGUGGACUGCGCCGGUGCCGGGGCGGGGACGUACGACGUCGUGUCGGUCACCUCGUCGGGGUCGCAGCUGUCGGCGGGGCUGGAGCUUGCCGCCGCCGGCGGGGUGGACCCGGCGCUCGGGCCCGACGUCCAGAGGCUCCACCUGACUGCCAGGCAAGUAUAUGACACCACCGACGAUCGAUUGCCUCAUGAGUUUUUCGGACUUCGGUGAUACUACUUCCAUCUUGAUUUGAUCCGCGGAGUAGGGAAGUGAGCUAGCGUUUUAGUUCGUCGCCCACUUUGGGCCAUUUAUUCGGUUAGUUUAAUUUGACGUUUUGAUUGAGCUACACCGACAAUUUGUUUUGGGGACUAAAUUGGUGGUUCUUAAUGGAAGAAAAUGACACUUUGUUUACGAUUUGGGGGUUCGAGUGGUGACCUGUAGAGCUGUUCCUGUGAAGUGUGAGCGGUGAAAUUGGUAAGGACUGCGUACCAGUUAUCUCUGCAAAGCUAAAUCAGACAGACAAUAAAAAUGUUCGGUCGACAGAUCAAAGCGAUCACGGUGGGGCAAUUUAUUUUUGGGACUAAUUGGCGUUGCUUAAUGGAAGAAAAUGACAUUUUGUUCAAGAUUUAGUGACCUGCAGAGCUGUUCUUCGUGAGCAAUGAAACAGAGCUGAUUGUUGACUGAUCAGGACUGCGUACCAGCCAAUCUCGUCUCUGCAAAACUAAUAAGGAGUAAUGUCUAAUGAAAGAUAUCUCAAAUUUGUUAAAGUUUGGACAUGACUUAGCGUAUAGAUGCAUUCAUGGAUAAUGAUUGCUCGAGAAGAUCAAAGCGAUCACGCUGGGACUCGAACCCAGAAUCUCCCGCUCCGGAGGCGAGCGCCUUAUCCAUUAGGCCACGCGACCACUUUUGAUUUCGGUUACGUAUUAAUAAAUAAAAUUAAUAUUGACUGACCAUUCACUCUUUCGUGCCGGCGGCAGCUUGGAGACGAACACACGGCUGCAGGUCAGAAUCACGGACGCCGAUCGUCCUCGAUGGGAGAUCCCCCAGGACAUCCUCCCCCGCCCCACGCCGGAGCACGUCGUCCCCUACAAGCCGCUCGCCUCGCCGGGCAGCCGCGUCCUCUCCGCGCCCGGCUCCGACCUGGUCUUCACCCUCCACUCGUCGCCCUUCCGCUUCACCGUCGCCCGCGUCUCCAAUGGAGACGUGCUGUUCGACAGUUUGCCGCGACUGGUCUUCAAGGACCAGUACCUGGAGCUCACGACGGCGCUGCCAAGCGAGCGGGCCAAUCUCUACGGCCUGGGCGAGCAGACGAAGCAGUCCUUCCGGCUGCGGCACGGCGACACCUUCACGCUGUGGAACGCCGACAUCGCCGCGGCCACCGUCGAUGUCAACUUGUACGGGUCCCAUCCGUUCUACAUGGACCUGCGCGCUGGCGCCGCGCACGGCGUGCUGCUGCUGAACAGCAAUGGCAUGGACGUGGUCUACGGCGGCUCGUCCCUCACCUACAAGGUCAUCGGCGGAAUCCUGGACUUUUACUUCUUCGCCGGCCCGACGCCGCUCGCCGUCGUGGACCAGUAUACCGACCUCGUCGGCCGCCCCGCCCCAAUGCCAUACUGGUCCUUCGGUACGCUCGCACCAAGCAAUUUCUUCUUCUUCUUCUCUUUGUUGCCGCCAUCCUCUGCUUCCUCUGCUUUGCACAGCCAUCCCCUUGAUUUCGCGAAUCGCGUUGGCUGCAGGAUUUCACCAAUGCCGCUAUGGCUACGAGAAUGUGAAUGACCUGGAGCGGGUGGUGGCGGGGUACGCCGAGGCCAAGAUCCCGCUCGAGGUCAUGUGGACCGACAUAGACUACAUGGACAGUUUCAAGGAUUUCACGCUCAACCGGGUCAAUUUCUCCGCCGCCGAGCUCCGCCCCUUCGUCGACCGCCUCCACCGGAACGCCCAGAAAUACGUGCUCAUCCUCGACCCGGGUACCACUACCUCAAGAUCGAUUCAAUUGAUCGCACCGACGACAUUUUCGCUCAUCGAUCUUGUUGCAGGGAUCAGCAUCAUUGACCCCAAGUACGGGACAUUCAUCCGGGGUAUGGAGGCGGGCAUCUUCCUCAAGCGGAACGGGACCGAGUUCAGAGGCAACGUGUGGCCCGGGGACGUCUACUUCCCCGAUUUCCUCAACCCGCGGGCGGCGGAGUUCUGGGCGCGGGAGAUCUCGCUGUUCCGGCGGACCAUCCCGGUGGACGGCCUGUGGAUCGACAUGAACGAGAUUUCAAACUUCUUCAACCCGGACCCGCUGACCCCGUUGGACGAGCCGCCGUACAGCAUCAACAACCAAGGCGACCGCCGGACGAUCAACUACAAGACGGCGGCGGCGUCGGCGACGCACUACGGCGGGGUCUCGGAGUUCGACGCCCAUAACCUGUUCGGGCUGCUCGAGUCCCGGGCCACGCACGCGGCGCUCCUCCGGGACACGGGCCGCCGCCCCUUCGUCCUCAGCCGCUCCACCUUCGUCGGGUCCGGCCGCUACACCGCGCACUGGACCGGCGACAACGAUGCCACCUGGGGUGAUCUGAGGUACUCAAUCAACACGAUGUUGAGCUUCGGCUUGUUCGGGAUGCCAAUGGUUGGCGCAGAUAUCUGCGGGUUCGGGAAAAACACGACGGAGGAACUGUGCGGGCGCUGGAUCCAACUCGGGGCAUUCUACCCUUUCUCGAGGGACCAUUCGGCGAUCUUCACCGUCCGCCGGGAGCUGUACCUGUGGGACUCGGUCGCCAGGUCGGCGCGGAAAGCCCUCGGCCUGCGCUACCGGCUGCUGCCGUACCUCUACACGCUGAUGUACCAGGCGCACGUCUCCGGGGCGCCAAUGGCGAGGCCCCUCUUCUUCUCCUUCCCCGACGACGCGGCCACCUACGGCGUCGACGCGCAGUUCAUGCUCGGGCGAGCCGUCCUCGUGUCGCCGGUGCUCCAGCCGGGCGCUACGAGUGUGGAAGCUUAUUUCCCGGCGGGGCGCUGGUUCAGCCUCUUCGACCACUCCUCCGUCGUCGUCUCCAAGGUAGGCAAGCGCGUGACGCUCCCGGCGCCCGCGGACACGGUCAACGUCCACGUGGCCGGCGGGAGCAUCGUGCCGAUGCAGGGGCACGCUCUGACCACGGCGCGCGCGCGCCGGACCGCGUUCCGGCUCCUCGUCGCGCUCGCGGAGGACGGCACGGCGGCCGGGGAGCUGUUCGUGGACGACGGCGAGUCGCCGGAGAUGGGCGGGACGAGGAGCAAGUUCAGCCUCGUGAGGUUCACAUCUUCGACGGGGACCGAUGGCGUGGUCAGAGUGCGCUCGCAAGUCGUGCACGACUCGUACAAGCCCAGCCGCAGAAUGGUCAUCGGGAAGGUGGUCGUCAUGGGGAUCAAGCGGCCGGCGCCGAUGAAGAAGCUCUCCGUGCGUGUCAAUGGCGCGGAGGUGAAGGCGGCGAGCAUGGAAGCCGGCACAGGGCUCGGUGUCGCGCACGUCGGCGGGCUCUCGCUCGUCGUCGGGCAGCCGUUCGAGCUCGCCAUCUCGUAAACUGCUGCGGGAAAUUGAAGCCCAAUAAAAACAGAGUUGCUAAUUCUGCAUCUAGCUGUUUUUCAAUUCAGCAUUCUGUCCGAUCCUUGUGCAAAUCUCAAAAUCGGCAUCGUCUUGCUUGGGUUUGUAAUCGGAUUUUCUUUCUUAUCUGGUGGGGAGCCUCAUUUUGUGUAUGUUUUGGCCUACAUUUGGUCCACUUCAUCAAUCAUUGACAUGCGGGUCGGGGAGGAAAAAUGGGCAAAAUGCGGACGAGACAUUGUCCGCCCCGACCCAAACCCGGAGCAAAUUUGGGUUGGACAUGGGUUGUGUCCGGACCAAAAAAGAAAAAGUGAGUCCGUUUAGCCCAAAGAGACAAAAUGGGUCUCUCCGCUGGAAUUGCCCAAACAACGCGAAAUUGCACAUGGGCCUCUCGCACCUAAACUAAAACAGUCGGUUCGCUCUUAUACUGCCUGUAACACCGACUGCAUGCCCAGCCCAAAAAGAAGGCGGGCACACAUGUCAUAGCACCUCACUUAUACUUUCAUCCUCGAUCGCUUCGUGCAGCAGAGUUAACCCAAAAGUGCUAUAUUUUGAACACAAAGACAUAUAUGCUGGUGCAACUCUUUCUAAACCAGCAAUGUGAGAAUAAUGCACUAACUGCACAUGGGCCUCUUGGUUCGAAACUAAAACGGAUCAGGUAUUUACAAGUCUUGUUUGGUCUCAAUUUUGCGUGGUAUUGGGUUUAGCAUAGUUUGGGCUCAAAGUGAUAUACUAUUUGGGCUUGGCUAGCCCAAUAGAACAAAUGAGCAAUCGUGUGUUUAUCCAUAAAUUAUUGCACUUAAUUGAUAUUAAUUUUGUUCGGUUUUGGUGCUAUUUCGAGACCAUAGUAAUGAGCAUUUAUGUCACAUCUGCUAUAAAAAGGCGUGCCCACUCAUGUCAUCUUCUUCACAACUCACAUUUCCGACAUUUAUCAGCCAAACAACACUUUUCAUCAACACCACAUUCUAAGCUAAGAUGAAGUUUGCUCUGCCUCUGUUCCUAACCCUUGCCUUCCUCGUACUAGCAUCAGGUACCACUAAUUUACUUUAUCAACUAAUAUUUUUUAUGUAUUGUAAAAUGUGGCAUAUGUAUAUUUAGCUUUGUCGUGGUGAUAAUUUUUACAGUUGCGAAUGGAGAACAUAGUAUGAGAACUUUUGAAGGGAGGACGGAUAUGUGUACGGCCAGCAGUUGUGACACCGAUUGCGGCCAGAGGAAAAGAAAUUUCUGCGGACCGCAUAACAUAGAGUGCACUUUCGAGGGUACCUGUGUUGGUACCAGAUGCCAGUGCAAGCUGUGCAUACAAAUGAGCGCAAAUGUGUUGGAACCAAGUACGAUUACUAGGGGCGGGCUGCCCUCCCAGGUCCAGGAGGCUCAGGCUCCGGCAAUGUAACAUGUGAUGCUGAUUGGCUAAACUUAAGUUGAGAUCUGUUAAUGUCGACAAAAACAAACAAUAUAUGCCGUGUCAAGACUUCCGUUGGAAAGUAGUGGUGUAGUGAUCAAUAUAACUAUUUCCUUCCUUGUUUCACGGUAGAAAGAUGGUUAUUUCCGUUUGCAACAUGGUGACAUAUCUGGUGAAAACUCCAUUACAGUAAAAACCAGCGAACUUCCGUCAUGAGCCGUUUGAUCGAGAAUACACGUUUCGGAUCAGAGAUGGCAAUCCCUCGGGCCACUCGCACAGUCGCACUUUUGCGCAAAGCCCCUUGCCGUUUCCUCCCUUCGCCGUUGCGCGUACCGAACUUCCGAUUCAGCCUGAAGAAAUCCCCUCGUUCCCAACCCGCGAGUCCAAGACCUUGGCCCUUCCUUCCUGGCGACCUUGGCGCUUCUCCCGACCUCAGCGCCCCUCCUUGCGACGACGACUCGUCGGCGGCCCAGGCGCUGGAGGCGGCGGCCUCUCCCUGGAAACAUACUCUCCUCCCUUCGUCCCCGCGCGCUAGCGGCAGCACGCGCAACCGCCGGCGGCGGCGGCCACGACCUGGCGAAUCGACAGCUUGCCGCGAUGGGACCUACGCCAACGUUUGACCUGGCGCUGCCCCACGCGAGGGAGACGACUGCCACGACGGUGCCUCAAGCAACGGCGUCGGUCGGUGCCACGUUUGCCCUGCAGCGGCCUGGCCCAUGCGUCGGCGGCGGCUUGGUUGCCCUGCUGUGGCGCACCUCCACCAGGCGACGGCGCCGCCUCCAGACUUCAUGGGACGGUGACCCGGCGCUGCUUCCUCUCUCCAUGCGACGGCGAAGCCUACUGCUGAAAAGUUGCGCUACUGAACCUGCUAUUUUGCUGAAGAAAGCAGACAUGUUCCUUUGCUGAAGCUUCAAUCAAUGUACAAGAUUUUUCUUUUCUUGUUCUGUAGCUUUGCUGUACAGAUCUGAAUGAAUCAAGGCAUAGAUCAUUGCUGUGUUGAUGUACCUGAACCAAUGUGCAAUUUGCAUUGGUUCCUCAAAUUGAACUACUUGAAUAAAUCCGAAUUUACAAGGAAAAAUUUGUUGUUCCGUGAUAUACCAUAUGUUUCGGCACCUUGAAACUACACUUUGCUUGCAAAGUUGCAAAACUCCAUGGAUUUUACCCUGUUAAAAGUGAGGCAUGGUGCAUAUAUGCCAUGAACUGGACAACAAUCCUUUGAAACAUGCACUGGAUGUAGGCACAAAGGCCAUCUAAAAAUAUGCAAAACAUGAGCUUCACAGGUUGACAUCUCUGAAGAUGAAAAUGUUCUUCUAAGAAAAAGAAACACUCUGAAGUAUCUUUCUAUCUGCCUCUUUUGAAAGAGCAGCUACUUUGUAAAAUAAAGCAACUUCUAAUGCUUCAACCAGCGGUUAAUCUUGGCCAGGGAUAGAUUUUGUUUGCUCCCUUUGAAGGUCAGGCCAUAGCCACAGCUUCCUGAAGCCCAAGCCAUGCAUUGACAUAUGGUCUUCAGCUAUCAACUUAGUUAAGCGCCCGGUUGUGGUGGUGGUCGUCGCGCCCACCGAAUGGUGGCCGUCGUGGGGGGCCGCAGCCACCGCCGCCAGGGCCAAGCCAUGAUGCUGGCCACGCCAUAUGCCAUAACAUGGCGCUAGCGCCACCACGGCUUCUGAUUCGUUGUCGCUAGGAGAGGGGUUGGGAGACCGAGGAGAGGGGUGGGGCACCGGCGCUAGGACAGUGGUGGGUCGCCGGCGACGCCUCCAAGUUGGAGUUGGGGAAAGAAAGGGAGUUUUUCUUCUUCUUUUUUCAAAUCGACCAAGGUGGGGAUUUAGGCUGAGGAUUUUGCGCAAAAGUCCUUUUAAGUGGCCUGAGGACUCCCACCUCUGAUCCAAACCAUGUAUUCGUGAUCCAACGACUCACAACGGAAAUUUGCAGGUUUUCAGUGGACCGGAGUUUUCACCGGAUACGACCCUAUAUUUAGGCUAAUGGUCAAAAUUGAAGGAGGGAGACAUAUUUGAUGACCUUGCAGUCAAUCAAAGACUUUCUUUUUGUUGCUGCCCUUGUCAUUUCGCAUUCUUAUUUUUUGUUUUUUCUCGAUCUCAGGCUUUAGUUAUCAGUCAUGAAUAGAUUAGCCUUAGUCUUGCUGGUCUAUUUAUUUGUCUCAGUUUCUGCAGGGUAGUAGUUUAUUUAGUUUUUAUUUCUUUGUGCACAUCAUCUUAUUUUUCAGCGCAAGAAAGUCAUUUGACGGCUUAAUUCGUAGGAGUCACCAACCGACCGCAGUUACAAGAAUUUUUUUUUCUCAGUUUUGUCAGAUUAGUGUUGCAAUCAGUGACAUAUAGCAAGAGUUCAGGCUAACGAAAAUGAAUGGUCCAGCCAUUAAAGCUAUCAAACAUAUAGAAAGAGUUCGGGUUCAGGAUACACUAUCUUUACCUGCAUGGUUCUCUGGUACACUGGCUGCUCCGUACGUUCCAGCACUCUUACCUGCAUCUCGUCCAUCCUUCCUCCGCCAAGUAUGCAGUACAACCGCCGGUCUCGCACCAGCCCAUUACAGCUGGACGAUGGGGGAAAGGACGUCCAGGAUUCCGCACGACGACGACGACGUGUUGUCCGAGCGAUGAAGGAAUUUUUCUGUUUCAAGCUUUUUCAGACGUGUUUCGGUGUUUUAGCUUCGUUAUGUUGUUCUGGGCUGAACUUUGUUUCUUGAUAUGGGUUGGGCUUUGAAGCCUGGUAGUUCCGGGCGGGCUUUUCUCCUUUUCCCUUUUUGGUUAUGCUGGGCUUCCUAUAAAAAAAAAAGCUUGGCUGUUUUUAGCCCCGUUGGUUUUGGUAGGUUCUUCUUGGGGGCAUUACUGCACAUGAAUCAAAGAAAAAUAAGAUGAUAUAACCAGGCUACAAGAGUUUAAAUUUUAUAUUCAUGUUUAUUUAGUUGGAUGAGAGAGAAGAUAGAGAAAAAAAAUGGACUACUAUUUAAGAACCAGUUGCAACACGAGUUCCUAGGAACUAUGUGAGACUAGGACAUGGGCCAAGUCUUAAUAAAAUGAUAAAUUUUUAUAACUAAUUGUUAUACUUCCUCCGUCUAAAAAAAGAUGUCUCAACUUUGACUAAAUUUGAAUGCAUCUAUACACUAAGUCAUGUCUAGAUACAUCCAAAUUUUAACAAAUUUAUAACAUCUUUUGUUAGACGGAUGAAAUACUUGGUAGCCUUUGCAUUGGCUAUAGGUGAUAUGGCAUGGGCUCCAACACCUGGCAUUAAUCUUGCUUAGGGAGUUUGGCUUUUCUUGCUGAUAUGGCAUGGGCUCCAACACACCCGAAGGCCCACAAGCAACAACGGUAACCAAACGGGCCUCCAUCGGAAAAAAAAAACCGCCGAGCAAGCCCACCAGACAAGACACACAUUCUAAAAAAAAAAAAAAACAAAAGAGACAAGACACACGAACCGCAGGGAGAGAACCGACGCGCACGCUGAGAGUUCUCCGAUAGGGGGAGUGAUGCGUGCACAUAUAAAUGAAUACGUCCUAUCUCUAUCUGAUUUUCCAGGAGCUCCAAACGUAAAGCGGAUCAUCGAGCUGCUAAUUUGCGGUUUUAAUACUAUAUUAUUAUUUAUCCACAGAACUUGUUCAGCAACCUGAUGCCCAAGACCAACACAGCGUCCCGGUUUUAGCAUCAAUCCUGCCUGUACAAUUAAUUUGAUCUAUUUAAGCAUGCAUUGCAAAAAUUUUGUCUACCCAUUUGUAAGGUGGAUUAGUAAUAAGUGUAUGCAAAUGCCAGCAGGGAGAUGUCAGUGAGUUACACUUGCAUAAUAGGUUAUCGUGAUAAAUAGGAGUGUAGUUUUAGGCAAUGGUAGUGAAUAAAGAGGCACAAAUUGGGAACUGCUCACCAGAUUAGAAUUUCUUCUUUGCUCUCUUCUAUCAUAUCCCUCCACACUUGAACUCUUUCCGAUAAGAUAAAACUCUGAAUGACAGGAAUGAGUACGAUACAGCUUUCUUUGCUCCACCAUCUCACAACCUCCUGCACUCUCCUUCUCUUCUCCUCGUGCUCUCUCUUCUCAUCACAAUGUCAUGGAUCCACCUGGGUCCCACGGAAUGUCAACUCGAACCUUGUUUUUUCCUUGUUGACAAAGCACCCGUGAAAUCCCUGAAAUACGCUCACAACAGGAACUAAAAAUGACAGAGUCGACCCCCUCCAAAUUAUCAAUGGAGUAACCAAUGGCAUACGCAUAUCGAUACCACACAUGGCGAGGAUGAUAUAUCACAUUAAGCUCAAUUAUAUCAUAUGAAUAGAAACUAGGAGAGAUCACUGGACCAAUACCCUCUAAGUCAUCAAUUGAGAAACCAAUUAUGUAAGCAUAGCAAUAAAGCACAUGGUGGUGAUGAUAAGUAUUCGCAUGUGAGAUAAGAGUAAUAUUAGAGCAUGCAUCCUUAGGCAACAUUCUAGCAUUUGGGUAACACGAGUCAUCAUCAUCAAUUUCAGAAAUGGCACUAAUAGAGUAUGCAUCAUCAAGUUUAAGAAAGUAACACUUCAGUUCUACCUUUAGUGAUGGUAUCAUGCAAUGCAAGGUAGUAGCAGAAAUUUCAUAAGGAAGGAUGUCACAGAGAAUAUUAGAUAAACCUUUAACCACACAUUCUUGCAUGAGAAUGGGCAUGUCCACUUGAAUCUCUUCUUUAUCUCCAUUUUCUGCUUCAUUAGCUUCUUCUUUAUCUUCAGGAUUGACAACUACUGUAUCUUUGCUACUUGCACAGCCCACCUCUUGCUCAUUCCGUAUCUUUUCUUCUAGCACAUCAUCUUCUUUAAUCUCAGAUUUCUCUUCUUCCCGAAUCUGAGCAACUUUUUCUUCGUUUUCAGGAAUCACAUGUUCUUGAUCUGCAUCUGAAGGUAUAGCUAAUUGUUGAUGGACAUCUUCUCUUGCUGCGUCUUCAUAAAAUCUUCAAACCAAGCUUGUUGUUCUGCUCCAAAAUUUAACUGAGCUUGUGACUUUGCCUCUUCAUUCCUAAAUCCCUGCAUAGGAUAGCUAGAAGAAAAUGAUGAGAUCUCAGGGCUGUUGUUCCUAAAUGUAAUAUUUGGGUUAUCAAGCCAACUAGGGGAGUAAUUGUUGUGAUAUAGAUCAUGCUGUGGAGCAAAACCCAUGUCAUAACAAUUUGGGGUGAAAGAUUUACCCAGCUGACACUCAGCAGGAAUAUGGCCUUGAUAUCCACAAAUAUGACAUUCAGGAACAACAUAAGUAUGGGGAUGGCCUACAGAAUAAGGAUCAAAGCAAGCAGGCCCUCCCUGAAGACCAUUUCCUUGCUGCAAAUUGGUUGUUCUAUUUUACUUGAUAACAUUUGCAUUUGACCAGACAACUCAUUUAUCUUAUCUUGAAGACUUGUUAUGUUGUUGCCGCUACUGCUCGCAUAUCCAUAAUAAUCGGAAUAGUAAGACAUGUCCAAGAUGAUGCUCUAACUUGCAAAAAUAGGACAAGAAACAAAUAGAAAAUAGAGAAACACCUAGAAUAGGGGUUACUAAACAAGGGGGGGAAAAACACCUAGUCUAUAACCUAACACAAUCGCUCGCUGCUAGUCCCCGGCAACGGCGCCAAUUUGAUCGAAGCAAAUAAUAGUAGUUUUUUUGUCGAGGUUCUCCACAGGGACUAGGCAGCGACAACGAUGCUCGGUUAAAGCUAGAUCACAGGAACAGAUUUUGGAAUUUGUAACAAACAGGGCAAAUAUUUUUAGUAUUUUCGUUUAUGCAAACAUCACUGGACAGAAAUGGUUGCUAGGCAUAAUAAAUAUUCACGAGCAAACAUAUAAGAAUGGGAGAGAAGCAAAUUGUUUAGGUAUGGGAAAGAAUACAUAACAGGGCAACUAACAUGUAUAAUAUCACACAAAAUUAAAUCACACACUAGUAGAUAUCACACAAAUCUUAGGACAAAAUAUAAUUAUAUAGCUCACAAAUAUCACAGUAGAACAACUCAACAAUUGACAAGGUUUCUCACUGACAUUUAUACAAACAGCUUGUAGGCACACAAAAUCAACACAUGCUCUGACUUUCAGUUCAUACAAACAGCAAGCAACAGGGGGAAAGGGAGAGAGAUUUUGAUGGGGAUUCACCCAAGGAGAAGGGGCGGCAAGGAGUUGAGGAAGGGAAGAGGUUGCAGUGGCACUCGUGCUUGCCGGAGGCGCUUGUUCUUCACUUGCUGCAGAAGCUUGAGGGAACGAGGAGGAGGUGCAGCAGCUUGGAGACGAGGAGGAGCAGCAGUAGUGGAUCGGGAGCAGGGGCAGCAGCAGCUUCGGUGGCGCGCCGCCACGCUGGCCUGGCCGCGGCGGCGGCCGGAGGUGGAGCAGGAGGUUGGGGGAAGGGAGAGGGAAUGCCAGGCUCGAAGGGGAUUGAGGAGGUGCUAGGGAUUGAACCCCCUAU